rnacentral:lncRNA from 1 species
UAUUUCAAGAAAUCCAUUUAGUAGUCCCCAUCUUUCACUCCCGUAUAGUUUAAUCCUUCCUCCCAAAUUACCCAUUUUUGCCAUUAGUUCAAAGCAAAAAGACCUAAAUAACCGUUGUCCCUCCUUCCCUCCCUCUCUCUUGCUCUCUCAACUGUCGCAGACCGAAGCAAAGGGAAACCAUGGGGUAGCCCUGAGAACCGAAACAACUUAACAAAAUAACUUCGUUGUAGUAGUUAGGUUGAAUCGGCAGGCAAAGCAUUGACGGAAAUCAGUGCUGAAGGGAGGAGUCCUUGGUUUGAAGUAGACAAAGGUAUGUUUCCAACACCAACUGAACUAUGCAUAAAGUAGGUGAAUUUCUUGCUUUUUUUUCAUGAUUUUGGCAUGUUUAUUUGUAAUUUGUUCAGUAAUUUAUUGUAAUUUUGAGAAAUUUAAUAAUUUUCUUAAGGGACGUGAAAUUUCAAAUGUGAUAAAUAUUAUGGAACAGAGAUAAUACUAUAUUAGCAUUAACUAUAUCUUGAUAUAAACAAAAUUAACAUAUGAACCUUUAAUUUAAAAAAAAAAAAAAUUUCAUUCAUUCCAAAAAAAUAGUUCAUCUUUUUUUUUUUAGUUUGUUUCAAAAUAUAGUUUACUUUUCUUUUUGGAUUAUAGUUAAUCCUUAAAUUGUCUAUUAUACCCUUAUUAAAGUUUAUCUUAUUUUCACUAACUCUCAUUAAUUCUUAUUGUUAUUCCAAUAUAAUCAUUUCUCAUGUGUCAUUUAAGAUGGGCAUAAUAAGAAAGUUAUAUGAAUAAAAUUGUUUUUUAACUAUAAUAACUAUUAUUUCUGAAUUUAUGUGAAAAUAAAAAGUGGACUAUAUUUUUGGGACGGAGAGAGUAUUAACCUUUAAUCUUCCAAUAAAAUUUUAUUUAAUAAUAUUUGAUUAAUUUCAAGAGCAAUUUAAUAUGGAUCAUGGAUAUUAACAUAAGGAUACAUUAGAAAAAAACGAAUAAAAAAUUAUAAUUUAACUAAAAUAACUAAAUUUUCUUAAUUUGUGUAUUAAGUCAAACUAGCACAAAAUGUAUGGUAGAGAGGGAGUAUAGUUUUUUAUUACUGGCUUUUAUAAAACCUAGAUCCCCAUUCCAUAGAAAUGGGUAGAAAACUGGUUACAAAUGCAAAUACAAAGAUUUCUACUUUUUUUUUUUUUCUAUUUUUUUAACCCAAGAAUAUACCCAUAUAUUAUUUUUAUAUAUACGGUGCUAAUCUCAUCUCAAUAUUCAUGAGUUGCCUUCCCCCACAAACUAAGAAUAUUCCUAUCUUAGUAUAACUAUGUCGUGCACAAUUUUAAUAAUAAGAACAAAAAAAAAAAUAAUAAUAAUAAUAAUAAAUAAAAAGUUUAAAAAGCAUAUAGGUCAUCAAGGAUAUGCUUGAAGCAUAUGCUUGGAAUGAUCUUCUGAUUCCUCUCCCCACAAAGCUUUUAUUAUUCCUUUAAAGUCCAGCAAUCCCUCUUUCACUCGAUCUCUUUGCAAAAGCAGAAGAAAUCAUCUAUGGCCUCAUAGAUAUUGUCCUACUGUAUUUCCCACAUGAAGUUACUGCGGUGUGAUGGCCAAAAAUAGUCAAAGCAGUGAAAUCAACGGUGAUGAUCAUGAGAGUGAUGAAGAUCAUGUUCAUGAAAAUGAAUCAUGACCCUUGAAGUUGUAUCAGUUGGGCAACUAAGGAUCCUUUGGCAGUCACAGGUAGACUUGCUUAGUAGAAUGAGAUGUUCAUGAAAGAGGGUUUAUUAUUUUCUUUUUUCCAUUUUGUUCUUUUUUUUUUUCAGGUCUUUGAACACUCAUGAGCUCUUUAUGAAUUAACACAGCUUGUUGUUGUUGUUGUUGUUCUUCUUCUUCUUGUAAUGUGUGUAUUUUAGUUGUUUGGCAUUUAAGUUGAAAUUGUUUUUUUUUUUUUUUUUUUUUUUUUGAGUAUUGUUGAAAAAAGAAAAAACAAUGGAUCAUUUAAAAGGCUACCCACCCUAUUAGAUCCUUCACAUAAAAAUAAGGUUAAGAAGCAAUUUUAUCCAUCACCAUGUCGUAGGAGAAGUCAAAGAGACAAGGGCUAAUGGCUCAUCCAGUGGCCUACAAGAACACAACUCUACUAGUAUAUAGUUAAACUUUCAAUAUAAUAACAUAAUCGUGACUAGCAAACUAAAAGCUUACAAAAGAAAAACAUUUAAAAAAAAAAAAAAAAAAAAAAAUGAAUCAUUCAAAACUUUAUAUAGAUCAUAGAUGUGCCUCUCUCAUGUUCUAGCCUAAGCCCAAGUUUUGAAGCCCAUACAAUUAGGGGGUUGAUAAUUCGUUAACUACGCCGAAAUAGAAUGAUGAAUAAGGUCUUUUUAGUCUAUUCGAAUAUGUUUUUAUCCUAAACCAAAUAGUAUAUUAACUUAUUUAAAUUGAAUUCAAUUGAUUUAAUUCAAUUUUUGGAUUCGGAUAUUUCAAACCAAUUAGCCAUUUUAAACUUAAAUUCGGUUAAUCAUAUGUGGUAAUCAAAAGAAUAACAAGCUCUAACUAGAUUAUGAGCUUCAACUUUAGCUUGUCUCCUACAUUUGACCUGUAAGCUAAUAAAUUUUUGCAAUCAUUGAGAAUUAAACCAACCUCAUAAAAGUCCCCAAAAAAAAAGAGUUCAAAGCAUAAAGUAUAAGUUGAUAGUCCGUAAAAAUGAAUCAUGGACAGAUGAGAUCACUCUGAAGCCAUAAUAAACAUGCCCGAAGGCCUGACGCUUCAACAAGUAAAGGGUCUUUAUAUGUGUCAACAAAACUUGAAAUAGAUGGCAAAAAAUCUCAUUCUUCGUUUUCAAACACUAUAUCGAAGCCUGCCAUUCUCAAGUUAUCAAAAGUUGCACCAUCUAUGAAACCUUGCUAGCCUGCUACGGGUUUUAUACCCCAAACCGGACAUGCCCGAACAGCGGGACCAAUGUUGUCACAGAUCGCCAUUCUUGAAGAAGCCGACGACUAGAGCAACAAACUUGAGCUGCGUCCAAAAAGUGGCGGAUUUUAUUGAAGUGCUUGGAUUUACAACACUUGAAACUCUUGAUAAUAAUAAAUAAUUACGUACCAUUAAUUAUUAAUGGUACACAAUUAUUUAUUAUUAUCAAAAUAUGGUAAAACUAUUUUUUCAACUAUAUAAAAAAUAUACAUUUUCGUUAAAUUAAUGCAAUUAGGGGAGGGAAUGAACAACUUUUUUUUUUUUUCCAAUUUACAACUUAAUCGAGACUAAAAAAAUCAUAGUAUAUAUAUUUUAGUAUUAAAAUGAUAGUUUGUGAAGUUAUCCUUUCAACCCUAGGCUUAGAAAAUGUUUUGUAAUUAAUUCUAAUUGAAAAAACUUUUUAAAAUACUCAACAUUUUAAAAUUGUUUUAUUACAAAUAUAUCCCUUAUCCACUGUGCGAACUCAUCAUCUCUUAAUGCUAGAAUAUUCUCGCUAAGAUAGUUAAUGUCAUCGAACCGGUGCUUCCAACCAAAAAAGCAACGAUCUAAGUCACGAUAAAAUAUAUACACCGUCGAUCCGUAGACUUUAGUAGACUUUAGUAAAUGCAUCGAACGGUCCUUGAACUCCACGUCAUCAAUCUACUUUAAGCGUCGCUCAAUGCAAUACGGUCUCGAUAGCAGAACAGUCUAGACCAUCGAUCGACAAACAUAUACGAGCCAAUCUGACGGUCUAAGAUCUCCAAGUCACCGAUCCGCUGGAAAUCCCAUUGACUAAUGGCAAUCUGCCUCCGCUUUCUAUAUAAACAACAACCCCACAGGAGUCUCUUCAAAAAUAUCAUUUAUCGCUUUCCUUUCUCUCUCUAACAAAUCAGGAAAGACGCGAACCCUAGCUUUCUCUAUCCAAAAAAUGGCACCAAAGGCGGAGAAAAAACCGGCAGAGAAAAAGCCAGCAGAAGAGAAGAAGACAGUAGCGGAGAAAGCUCCGGCUGAGAAGAAGCCUAAAGCUGGGAAGAAGUUGCCGAAGGAAGGUGCCGCGGCUGCCGGAGAUAAGAAGAAGAAGAGAAUUAAGAAGAGUACAGAGACUUACAAGAUCUAUAUUUUCAAGGUCUUGAAGCAAGUACAUCCUGACAUCGGGAUCUCAAGCAAAGCCAUGGGAAUCAUGAAUUCCUUCAUCAAUGAUAUCUUCGAGAAGCUUGCACAAGAAGCUUCAAGACUUGCGAGGUAUAACAAGAAACCAACAAUUACUUCAAGGGAGAUCCAGACGGCUGUGAGAUUGGUGUUGCCUGGAGAAUUGGCUAAGCAUGCAGUGUCGGAGGGUACUAAGGCGGUGACUAAGUUUACCAGCUCUUGAAGCGGUGGCGAUGACAAGGAGGCGAUGGUCGGUAAUGAAUUACGGUUUUCUUGUGUGUAUCUGUGUAUGUUAGGGUUUAGGUAGUAUAUGGAAUUAUUUUUAUGAUUUCUAGUGUAGUUUGAAAUUUGAGUUUUUUUGUUAUGUAAUUGAAGUUUGGAUUUGCUCGAUCCCAAAGUUUCUAUUGAAAAAAUUAGAUACAAAAAAGUUGUUCCUCAAGUGUUGCUAGUCUAUUUGAGUUGUAAAUGUUCAAUUGCAAAUAUGUUGCUGUUAGUAUUGGUUCUGUUUAACCAGUAUUUAACCGGAAGAUGGUGCAGGUUGGUGUUCUUUCGAAUUGGUUCGCAGUUUGUACUAGGUGAAAUUCAUUGUUUUGGUUGUUUUAGUUGGUCACAAGUCGUAUUCUUUGCUCUGAUUUUUGGCUAAACCAUUUCAAAUACCACAAAAUUAACGAGUUGUUACAAUUGCAUCAAUCCUCGAAGUUAUUUCAGUUUUAAACUUACGUUAUAAUUGCAUCGAAAUUGGUCAAAAUUGAGAUUAAAAAAUAAUAAAUAUGGGUCUCACAAUAGUUAGCUAACCCAACAUAAGUUCGCUGAACUGAAACACACUGCUUCGUUUUCACUUCACACAAAUCGGUCGUUUCGCCUUCCCUUGCAAAUCGAUCGAACUUGUUCUCUCUCUACCUUGCGUUUCUCCUCCUCCAAUAUUGGCUUUGUCUCCGCUAUUGCAACGAUCGGAUGAUUUUGCUUCUUGGACUGAUGCACAAAGAUCUAACACAUAGUUUCGAAUGAGAUUGAGCUUGGGUUCGCGACAUCGCAAUGGGAAGGAUUUUUGGGAACAAGGGACUGAAAAUAACUACAAUUCUUUGCUUUUUUUCUUUUUCUUGUCUUCUAAUUUUCUUUCUCACUUUCGAUUCAAGCAGUAAAGGACAUUUCUCACAAUUUAGUCCCAAUAAAACUUUAGCUUCUGCACACUUUCCAUUUUCGACUUUGACUAUUCUCUCCCCAUCUCUCUACCUCUGCGAAGCAAAAGCAUUUUUUUGGGUCUGUGUUCGUAUGUUUUCCAUCUAGGUAUUUGCUUGUUUUUGAUUGAAUUGGGUGUAGAUUUUACUGUAACAGCCGUUUGGAAUACAAAUGAAUGUUCGUACGUUUAUUAUGCUAUAAUUUAAAAAUUGAAUUCCACUAAAUUAUAUUUAGAAUAAAUUUUUAAAUAAAAAUUCAUUUUAUUUGUAUUUUUGUAACGCUCUUGACAUAAUAAUUUAAUAAAAAUAAAUCACAAAUAUCAAUUAUAUUUAUUAUGUACAAUAUAAUAACUUUUCAUUUUUUUAUUAAAUAUAAAUAAUAAAUUUCAUAUAAAUAAGUACACUAAUAUUUCAAGUUAAUUAAUUAAUUCUAUAAGCAGUAACAUUCAUCAUGAUAAUUAUUUUUAAUUGAUGUGAAAAAUUUUGUUGAUUUAAAUAAUUAAUUUGGAAACUAAAAAAAUAUUAAGAAUGUUAAUAUUGUAUUUAAUUGCACUUAAAAACAAUUGUUGAUACUCGAUUUUUAUAAUUUUAUAGUAAUAAUAAGUAACGUUAUUACUGGACUUUAAAAAGAAAAAAAAAUGUCACUAGUUUGAAAUUUUCCAAACAAAGAAAUAAAAAGGAAAUAAAAUAAACAUAUAAACUAAUAUCAUUAGAUUAAAAAAAAAAAAAACGUUGUUAUAGUUUGAAUUGUUCGAAGAAAACAAACAAAAAGGAAAAAAAAAAAAAAAAUACUUGAGUUUAUAGUUGAUGGUAAUUUUGUCGAUAAAUAUUUUAAUAGUAAAUUUUGUGGAAUUCAUUUACAAAUUUCAUCAAUUUUAGCAGAAUUUGAGUUAGUUAUGUGCAAUUCCAAGUAAUUCAAUUCGUAGAAUUCAAACUUGUAUUUUUUUUCAUUUCAAACAUAAUAUUUUAGAUUUGCAAAUGAAUUCCAUAAAAUUUUGUAGAAUUCAUUUGUUCCAAACGGACUCUAAGUUUUAUCUAGCUAUUUAGCUUUUUGUUGAUUAAGUCUUUGAUUUUUUAUUUUUACUGGAUCAUUCUUUUUGACAAAUGGGUUUUAAUUCUUUUGAUUUCUUCUGGUAUGAUCUUAAAUUUCGGCUUCUUUCUUUGUUUUUUAUUUUUCUUUUCGGCAACAAUUCAUUAAUUAUUUUCUAUCUCAAUUCCCUUUUGAUUUAUUUAUUUGUUCUAAUGUUUGUUCUUUGAGCCUAUUUUCAUUUCUAAACCACUGGGUAUGAGUAUCUGCCGCUCAAGAUGAGAUCUUUAACUAAAGAGAGAGGUAACGGAGAAAGGCUAAAUCGUUCAAUUUUAAGGAUGAUAAUGGAUAGAGUUCCGGUCGGAUAAUGCAAUACCCAUUACCGAAACCCAAUUUUAUUCUCAAUUUUCGAACUAUAUCUAAUACCUUAUCAGAUAGAUAAUGUUAUUUUCAUCCCCAAAUCCAAUAGGUUCGGGUAUACCACCGAUUACAUGACCCAUGAAUACCCAUUUAUUUAUUGACUCAUAUUUUUUUAAAAAAAAAUUAUAUUCAAUUAAAAAAAUUAAAAUAUUUAUCUAAAUGAUUUAUAUAAUAUAUGAAAAUAAUAAUACAUAAAUAAAUACUCGAACAGUAGUAAAUUAAAAUUUUAAUUCCGAAUAUCAUAAUACUUUACUCAAAUGUCAUGGACUUUCCAAGUAUAAUUAUACUAAAAGUUAAUUUAUAGAAUAACUAAAAAAUUCAUAUAACAAAAUCAAUAAGCGUGAAAUAUUAUUCUAUGAACUCAAAAUCAUUAUUAUCAUUAUAAUUUUUCUCCAUUAUUUGAAAUUGAAGUUUAAAUCAAAUAUUAGAAAUUAAAUUUUAAAUUUUAAAAUCUAAAAUUUUAAAAAUUUGACUAAUUUAAAUUAAAAUAUGAAAACUAUAAUGAAAUUAUUUUGCAUUGCACUACAUUAAAUUAAAAAUAAAAUUAUAAUUUAUAUAGAUGAUUUACUACAAGUAACCCAAUUUAUUAAAAAUUUCAUACUAUAAUUUUAAAAAAUAAUGAAAUUUUCAAUUGAAUAUGAGGUGCUGGAUUGGGUUUGGGUUUAUAAUAGCAAUACCCAUAUUCUACUCAAACCCAGUCAAAAUCCUAAAAUUCGAGUUUGACUGGAUUCGAGUUGCGUACAUACUCUUCGGGUUGGGUUGAUUUUGCCAUUCCUAUUCAAUCCCUAAACAGCCCGCACUUCUUAGCCAACCUGAGUUGGGUUAAUUCACUAUAGUGAGAGCUAUCAUGAUAUGGAAACGUACGAGAUAAUAUAAUUUUUAAAAAAAGUAGAACAUUUUGAUGCUUAAAACACGCUACACUGAAUAAGUAAUAUAUUAAUAUUUCAUAUAAAUAAACAAUCAUUAUAACAAAUCAUCAACAUAAAAAAAUACUUAAUUUCUUAUUUCAACGAGACAAAAAUAAAUUAAAAUUUUAUUUUUUAUUGGUAAUACGUAAAAACUUCGUUUGAUUAACUGGUGUAUCGAGUAGUCUCAUAUAACAGAAGCCAGGUUAUACGAUAAAAUAUCCACACGCUUAUGACACACUAUACUAAAUAUGUAAUAUAUUAAUAUUUCAAAUAAAUAAACAAUCAUUUAUAAUGAAUUAUAAACAUAAAUAAAAAAAACUUAAUUUCUUAUUUGAAUGACAAAAAACAAAUUAAAAAAAACACUUCAUUUUUUAUUGAUAAUAAAAAAAAAUCUUGGUUGAUUAGUUUAGUGUAUGGAGUAGUCUCAUAUACAGUAAUUUAUAAAAAAAGUAGGACAUCCACACGUUCUGGACACACUGUACUAAAUAAGUAAUAUAUUAAUAUUUCAAAUAAAUAAACAAUCGUUUAUAAUAAAUCAUAAAUAUCAAAUAAAAAAAUAUUUAAUUUUUUAUUUCAAUAUAUUUAAUUAAACUUUUAUAAAUAAUGUAUAUUAUUAAUACUAUUCAAAAAUACAUUAAUAGUGUGUAUGUAUUUUUUUAUGUAGAUCAUACCAUGUAUAGUUUUUGUUAUUGCAUAUUUUAAAAAACGUUUCACAAGAUACUUAAGACGGCAUAUCUUAAUAUUGUAACUUUUCAACAUAUAUUAACAUUGAAACUUUUCAGCAUAGCUGAAUGACAUAUAAUUUAUUAUUUUAUUAUUUUUAAAUAAUGUUAUAAAAAAUUAUUUAUUUUUUAAUAAUGCGAAUUAUUUAUUUUUUAAUAAUGCUUCAGGCAUAUCUGUCACUGGUAUAUAUAACCUAUAAAUCCCUAUAAAAUAGGGGAAAAAAUCCUAGUACAAACAGGUAUAGGAUUCCAAUACGCGUAAUGACCUCAGUCUACUAACCGGAUUAGAGAUGGCAGGAUGCCUCGAAAACGCGGGGAUCGAACCGGGUCGACCUAAACGGAACGGCUUUUUACCCAUUGGAUUAUGGGCGGGGACGGGGCAAAAUUUGCAAGUAUCGGGGCAGGAUAGGGUGAGCAUGACCCACCCACGAUCCAUCCCAUUGCCCUUCUUAAACCAGAUGCCCUGGCAUGGCCCAAAAUGAAGUUCAUUUUGUUAAGUUCAUUUUGAAGUAACCUUUCCCCUAGGCUGCUGAGACCGGAAGAAAGAAAAUGGCGAAAAGAAUUGGCUGGCAGCUCUUUGUUGGCAGUUCUCUCCCUGUCUCUCUAUAUAAUAUAUGGAUUCUACUAAGCUGGGUUUGAUUCUUGAUAUUUUUUUUUUUCAGGAUUAUCGGCGUACGCUACAAAUCAGAAAUUGGAGAAGUGGUUUUCGCCAUUUGGAGUUGUUAGAGAAGGUAAUUUCUGAGUUAAUUGAAAUGAAUAUUUAUAAUCUGAUAUCUUAAUUGAAACUUUAACGAAAAGGUGGCAUUUCUUUGGUUUUUUGAUUCUAGCUCGGCUUGUUAUAGACCCAAGAACUCGAAAGCCUAAAGGAUUCGGUUUUGUGACGUUUGAUUCUGAAAGCGAAGCACUGAAAGCGAUGAAGACCAUGAACGGCAGGGUAAUUAUCAGUUUCACGCUCUUAUCUUUUGAAACUCAUUUAAUUUGUUCAUUGUGAAAUCCAUGUGGAAAUUGCUAUUUGUAAUGCUAAUUCUUAAGUUGUGACUGUUUUAUUGAGUCUUAAUCAUGAUUUCUUUAGGCUAAAUUGAGUGAAAUGGAUGUCUUGAUUGAACAUACUACCAGAAUUGAGUUGAAUAUUGUUUAUAUAUACAUAUAUAUAUAUCAAAGAGGAACCCAGAUAAUUGAGCAUUGCUUUCAAAAUGAUGUAAUUGUUUCUAUUACUAUGUCUAAAGACAUUGAGUAAAGUCUUUCAAUUCGUAUCAUAUAUAGGUUGGAUUUGGGCGCAAAGAUUCAUUUUUGUCCAGAUACUAUAGCUUAGUUUUGUAGAGAUUAUGGUCCUAAAAUUAGUCUCUUACUUUGGUCAACUACGGUGUUAUGAGGAAGAAUUAGGUUACCAAGCUCUAUCCUCUUUUACUUAUACACAGGUGCCCAAGAACUUAUUGAGCAAAUUAAUAAAACAUCAUGACAUAAUGGUGCUGUUUAUGAACUUAUGAGCAAAUUACAAUAGUGCUAUUUAUUGAUAAACAUUGGUGAUGAUUUGGUGUUGGUAUGUAUCUUGUCUUCCUAUUAUCAUGUAAUCCAUAAUGGCAGUUUAUAUCCCAAUACUACAACAUUUGAGGUUUAGUUUUCUGUUUUUCCAUUGUGUGAGCAGUGAUUGACAUUUGCAUUCCUCCAUUCUUUUUAUAUGCGUCUAUGUGUGUCCCAGAUUGAAGCAGUCUUUUUAAUGGUUUUGAAACUCAGUCAAGAAUUUUUUUGUGAUAUUCCCCUCAGAUUUCUUGCUCAAAACUUUUCUAUAGUUGCAUUCCCCAAAACUUUAAGACUGUUUUAUCAUAUAAAUGAAAUUAUAUGAUACGAGUAUUCUGUAUUUUAAAUAUUUCCAAUGGCCAGGGGAUGCUUAGAUCUCAUCUCCUAUUAUCUAUUAAUCCAGAACGGCAGUUAACUUUCAGCUGCAACUUUUGUGGAUUAGUUUUAUUUUAGCCAUUGUUUUAUUUGUGUUGGACAUUUGCUCAGCGUGAGUCCACUAUUUUGCAAUAUAAAGUUCCGCAAGUUUGGUUUCAUUUUUCAUAUUUGUAUUUAAUGCUUCUUGAUUCUUCAUCUGACCGAUUUUAUGGUGUUGAACCAGGGUAAAGUGUUUUUUUUUUUUUUUUUUUUAGCAUUUCUCAUGUUAUCUCAGUCCUACUCUUGAUUGCUGCUCAAAUCGUUUUAUCCCAGUAUAUGGUAAAUCGACUUAUGAGUGGCACAUAUUAUUCCUCCUACUUGUGCUUAUGUCUUUAAAUCAUGCAUGUGAUAAUUGGGUGUUUUAUUCCUCAACUUUCUACCUCAAAUUUUUCAAAAGUUGCAUUUCCAAAAACUACAAAUGAGAGAAGUUUGGGCCUCUCUCUCUCUCUUUCUCUCUUAAAUGUCCCGUAUAUGUGUUCAACAAAAAUGGAAGGAUUUUCUUAUGCAAAAGAAAAUAUGCAUUCCUGGAUUUUACUCUAACUCGGUUCCCUUAUGCUACCUAAGAGAAAUUGAAAUAUGUGUAGUACAUAUGAUGUCAAAAUACAUCUAGACUGCCAUACUUUGUGAAUUAUGAUUAUUGAUUGUUAAUGUGACACAUGCCACUAAUCUUUCCUCAUUUUGUCUAUGCAUCCGCAUGGAGGGGGUGGGUGUUAUGCAAACAGAUAGUUGAUGGAAGGCUGAUUUGCGUGGAAGUUGCAAAAAGUUCAAAACCAGGAGAUGAUUCUAGCUCUUGAAUUACUUAUAUGACAAUUUGUAUUUCAAAUCAAAUGACAAAUCACCGACUACUUUUUGAACUUGGGUUUACAUGCUUGUUUCUAUACUGCCAUUGUAGUUGAUAAAUUUAUAUCUUAAGCUCUAAGCGUGAUGGUUCAGAAGUCACAUGUCCAUCAUUGAUCUAAGGAAUUUUAUUAUCCUUUAGCCUUUGCGUGUUCGGACCGACGAGUAACUACGAAAAGCUUGUUGCCUCUUUAUAAUCCUAGCCUAUUUUUUCAGUUUCAGAGCAGGAAUUUGAUUUAAUGUAUUAAUUGAGUCCAUAUCUUAUUUAUUAUGAUAGAUACGCAUUUUUAUUAUCAAGAUAAACAUGGGAUGGCUUGUUUUGCACAAAGCCAGAAACCCAAGAAGGGAAAACAUAUAUCUUUGGAGUUUGUCAUUAGUGAUCGAUUAAAAUCAUUAGUAAUUAAACUUGAUUAAGCAAAUGUAUAUUAUUCUAAACCUUCAUUCAACAUAGUACAUGGAUAACAUGAUUUAACACCUUCAUUUCCAUAUUCAAAAACAGUUGGGAGAGAAGGUUUAUAUGAAAAUCAACAAAAGCUUCAGACAUGAUACAGGGAGCUCCUUUGUUGUCAACUCUUGUGCGCAUAAUAUACACGAAUAUUUCUAUCAUCCAGCAACUGGACAGAAACGAGCAAACACAACAAUUAAUUCUACAAAAAUAUUAUAAAUUCGUAUUUUCAUGUUAUUUUGUAAAUUCAAUUUCAUGAAGUUUAACAAUUUACAACUGAGUUUUAUAAGUAAAAUUCAUGCAUAUCAAAACGGACAGAGAUAAACAAGAUCCUGCAAUCAAGUGACAUACCUGACCAUUCAUUUCCUUCAAAGCUAUAGAGGCUGCAGAUUCACAACUGAACUGCACGAACCCAUACCCUUUUGAUUUCCCACUCACGUGAUCGCAUAUAAUCUUAACUAAAAAUCAAACAUAAAAUUUACAUCAGUUAGCCUUAUCAAAAGAAAUUUCUAAAGAAAAGAAAAUCAAAAGCACUGAACUUGAAUUUGCUCUGUGAAUUACCUUCAAUUAUUUCUCCAUGUUUCUCGAAAGCAUUUUUUAAUACGGUUUCAUUGGUAUCAUAAGAAAGCCCUGCAAUUAAAGAUAAAAAAUUUCUACUCAUAAACCAAAAUAUUAAACAAAACUAAAUUACUCAAGCAGGGAGAAACGAAAUUGAGCAACUGUGACCUCCGACAAAUAAUUUGUUGCAGGAAUGGCGAACCCAUAACCAUCUCGCUAAGGGAACUGUGCUGGAAAUACUAACGGCAGCACGAUUCCAGCACAACAUCGGAUCUUGUCUGGUCUUAUGCUGAUGCUGAUAAUUAGCAGAAAUGCGGAAACCGGUUGACAGGUUUAAAGGCUUAGGAGAAUGAAAACGCUGUCGUUUUAUGCAGGCCAAACGGCAGACCUUGCUGGCUUUUAGGAUCUAAACUUAGGUUUUAGAUAAAUAACUUAUUUCUUUAUUCUUCUUCUUUUUUUUUUUUUUUUUCUUGUUUAGCUAAAACAUUAGAAUAAUACCAAAUAAAAACUGAAAACCCUUCCGUCAAACAUCAGACAUUUAUGCAUAUAUUCAUUCGAAAUCAUUAAAACAUUUGUUAAAUGAAUUCAAUUUGUAAAGGAAUUGUUAUAUUUGAUUUAACUAUGUAAUUUAUUUCAACUAUCUAUCAUUAUUGAUAUCUACUUAGAAUUCCUUUCAAAAAAGAGAUAUCUACUUAGAAUUUAUACCCAAAAGUAUAGUAAUAAAAUUCUAAAUAAUUUCCAUUUGUCCCAGAUAUAAAGUAAAAAUUUCUUAAUAAAUUCCAUAAGUUUUAUUAAAAUUCAAUUAUGCCAAAUUAAUCACUUCCAGUUUCCUUUUUUUUUUUCAAUUUGCUUAAUACUAAUGCGAAAAUAACACCCAAUAAGUUUUGCUGGUAAUCAAUCGAACGAAGAACUAAGAUCACCUAGUUUUUGCAUUCAAAUUACAAUGCAAAUAGAAUUGUUAGUCUUCUCAUAUCUUUUUAUAGCAAAUGAGAUGUCUCUGUUUGAGUUUUCCUAAUUACAAAACUGUUUACUAAUUUGAUAAAUUAUUUAAUAAAAAAAAAAGGCUAUUUACCCAUGUUGCGUUAUGGAUAUUUUUCUUUCAAUCCAUUUUGACUUUCCAUCAAUGAAGAAAAAAAAAAAAGAUAAAUCUUUGAAUCAAGUUACUUAAAAAGAAAUAUCUUUCAGACAAAAAGGUUCGAGUCCAAGUACUUGUAAAUUUUAACUCAACCCACUUCCAGAACAGCUGUCUUGGCCGAAAUUCACAACCACAAAGCACAAGACGCCAACCAUACAAACCUUUACGCACCCAAAACCUUAUUCCUUCCAAAAGAUUAGCUUCAUAGCUUCAGCACGCUUGCUAAUUAACUCACAAAUAACCAAAAAAUUUUCGAAAUUUUGGACCCAGAAGCUUCAGAUCCUAACAAAGUCCAAUAAAGGCUAACAUACAGCAUUAAGUAUCAGGAAUUUGAUUACCACACGAAAAAAGUAAAAGGUUCCAUCCCCAAAAGGAAUAUAAACAUGGAGGCAAUUCUGAAAGAACAGCAUUGCUUUUGAAAAGGGGAAAAGUGUAAAAAGGUUCUCUCCUCACUGUCAUUCCAAUUUUGCAUAAGCAAAUUAAAAAAAUUCCUAAUUGCGCAUCAUAAAACCUACACUCAUAAUAAAAACAGAAAAUGCACAAUAAAUGAAAAACAGAAACCAGUAGUUUCAUCCAUUAAUCUCAUAUGUCAAUCCUAACAUAGUAUCACAAAGAUCAAGGGACUACACAAUUUUAUCAAAAUCCAUCAACUUCGUCCUACAAAUUAACAAAAUAUGGCAAAACUACAUACAACAAGAGCAUAAGAGAAUAAUAACUGGAAUGGCCUAAGCUUUCUUUGGAGACUUUGUUCCCUUGGAUGGAGACUUGGGUUCCUUAGUUGCUGCCUUCUCUGACUUCUUGGGCAAUAGAACAGGGUUAAUAUUGGGAAGAACACCUCCAUGAGCAAUUGUCACUCCUGCAAGCAACUUUCCAAGCUCUUCAUCAUUCCUAACGGCAAGCAAUACAUGCCUUGGUAUUAUUCUAUUCUUCUUAUUAUCUCUGGCAGCAUUACCGGCCAACUCAAGUACCUACACACCCAAAACAGAAAAUAAUUAGGGUUUCAUUUAACUAGCUAGGAAUGCACAAUCACAUUAGGCUCAACCCUAAUUUGAGUUCACAGAUGCCAAAAUUAUUUUGCUAAAUUUUCAAUAACAUAGCUUUGCCACCAUUUUCUCAACAACCAACCACACAUUGAGAGCCAAAUUAUCAAAACCCCCAAAUUUAACACAGCUGAACAUUUCUAGCCAAACCCAACAACUAUAGAUAAGAAACAUAGCCAAAAACAUAAAAUCAGGAUGAUUAAGAGAGUGAGAGAGAAAGCUUACUUCAGCAGCUAGGUACUCGAGCACAGCAGCCAAGUAAACAGGAGCUCCGGAUCCGACCCGCUGCGCAUACCUUCCCUUCUUCAGGUAACGACCGAUCCUCCCAACGGGAAACUGAAGGCCAGCCUUAACGGACCUAGAAGUAGGCUUCUUCUUCGGGCCUCCACCCUUCCUACCACCGGCACCCUUUUUGACUUUAGCUCCGGCGUCCAUGUCCGCAGAAAGUCCGACCCGUUUAAGAGAGAGAGAGAGAAAAAUAUGAUGUUUAUCGUACAGCAAGGUAACGUGCCGUUGUAUCACCGUUUUAUAGCCUGGUGUCGGGACGUGAGCGUGUGAGAAGUGGGACUGUGGGAGGAGGAAGACCGUUGGAUUGGGGUCUUACUAAGGGUUCUGGAUAGUUUAGAUGGCAAUCCGCGUGAUUUGAAAUGGACCAAUAGGAAGCGAGAGAGUUUGGCUGUUCUAAUUUUCUAUUUAGAAAAUUUUUAGCGCCAGUUUAAAAUGUUUUUGCUUUCCCGCUACAAUUUUCAAAUAGCUUGCAGACUUUUGGGUUGAUUUGUUUGCAUUUUAAUUCAGAUACUUUCUUCCCUAUAUUCUUUAGGCUAUAUUUGGAUGGAGAGGAAAAAAAGAAAAAUGAUGAAAAUUUUUUUUUCUUUAUUAUUUUCCUUUUUCUUAUUUGAAUAGCAAAGGUUACAAAUAUAUGAUGAAAAAUAUAUAAUUACUAUCAUUUUACAAUUUUAAACAUAUCCUUACAUGAUAAUUAAUUUAAAAUAUUAUUUUAAGAUAAAAAUUAAAAAUAUAAAUGCAAAAGUGAUAAAAUAUUAAUAUUUAUUGCCAUGUCAAUAAUUAAUGAUUACUUAUUUCAUUUUGAUAAUUUUUGAGAAUGAUAAUUUGCUCUAUAAAUAAAAGUCAUUAUUCGAUCCAACAAAUGUAUUUUGAAGAGCUUGUAGUAUAGACGUCUUUAUUUGAAAUAUGCUCGAUGGAAUCAAAGCGUGUACCUGUGAAUUUUGAGUUACUAAUACUUAUGUUCGUUUAGAUUUUUACUAUAUAUUAGUUCUUUUUAAAAUGUGCAAUGCUCGUUGACUAUACUUGUUAUGUGCUCAUUUUUAUACUCGUUUAGCUUUUUUAUUUAUAUAAUUAAACUAUAAAUUAUUUAUUUAGAUUGCAAUAAAUAUAGUGAUUUUUAUAUAUACAGAGUAAAAUAUUCUUUUUAAUUAUAUAUCUUAUACUGUAAUAUCUCAUUGAAAAAAAAUUUGAUAUAUUUGUUUCUCUCUUUAAAAUAGCAAUUCAAAUAUGAAAUAUGUCAUUUAUAUUUUAUUCAACAUAUUGAUUCUUAUAGUUUUCAUUAUACGCUAGUUGUUUUUAUUUUUCGUUUAAGUACCAAAUUGAUUUCUAAAAAUUAUUAUAUAACUUUUAUUUUACGUUUUAUAAUUAAUUUAUGUAUUUUUGUUAAUAAAUUUCAUUAUAAUAUCUUUUAAUAAAUAAAUAUACUUUAACAAUAUAAUAAGAAAUUAAUCUAAGAAUCAAAUUAAAUGUUUAUAAAUAAUAAUAAAUUUUAUUUUCAUUUUUUUAGCCUAUCAAAAUCACGAAAUCAUUUAAAAAAUUUAUUAUUAAAAUCAUAUUCCUUAAUAGAAAGAAUAAAAUUUGAAUUAAAUAAGAUAUUAAUAUAAUUAAUCAAAUUUGAAAUGUUUAAUAAUAAUAAUUUUUAUCUUAUUUUUUGGUCAACCAAAUUAGAGUGCAAUUUGUAAUUAAAGAAAUUUAACCAUGCCCUUUUUAAAUCAAAAUCUGAAUUAUCUAAAUAUAUAUAUUUAAAAUUCAAAAAAAAAAUCAAAUGCCUUGUAUUUACACGUAUUCAUUUAAAAUAAUAAUGUUGAAGAUAAAUUACAAUAAAAAUAAAUAAGAAUAAAAUAAUAAAUAAUAGUAAUAAAUUAUUAAAAUUAUUAAAUUAUUAUUAAUAAUUUAUAUAAUAUAUAAUGAAAUAAAACAUAAUUAUACAUAAUAAGAUAAUAAUAGCUAAAUUUUGAAUUUUCAAAUACUUAAUCAUCUAUAUGUAUUUAUCUAUUAACAAAAGUUAAAAAAACAUCCAAACCAAUUAUAGAGAUAAUAUAUAUAUAUAUAUAUAUAUAUAUAUAUAUAUAUAUAUAUACACACACGUAUUUAAUUAGUUUUACAUAUGUACAUAUACCGUAUAUAUCUUGCAUACUGUAUAUACUACAUAUAUGUCUAUAUCGUAUUUACUGUUGCUGUUGUACCCUUUUAUUUUUUAUUAGGCGCUACAAAACAAAAUAUUUCAAUGUUUCAUUCAUCUCUUGUAAGGUUAUUUUUGGUAUUAUUUAAAUUUUUUUGACCAAAAUUGUUAUUAUCUUAAUUUGUAUUCUUUUCUGACAUUUUGUUAAAAUUGGAACCUCAUAUAUGAUAUUUGUUAAAUUGCCCCAUAAUUUAACAAUAAAUCAAGUUCACGUGAUAAAAGAACAAGCCAAUAAUAACUUCAAGCUUGAUCAUCAAAUCUCAUCCAUGUGACAAGUCCCUAACCUAAAAGUUCACAAUUCCAUCAUUUUCUCCAAACCUAAAAAAAAUGGAUAGAAACAUAAAUUAAUAAUUGUUCAUCAUAUAUAAUUAUGGAGCCUAUAUACAUAAUGACAUGAAGAUCACAAAUUAUUAAACAUCAAUGAACCUGUUAAAAAAAAGCUCUAACUUAUAGCAUUUGAUACCAUAGCAUCAAUUGUGAUUUCAAUUGAAGGUAGAGCUAAAAUUAAAAUCAAACAAUAAUCAACAUGUAUGCUCAAAUGAAAAUACUAAAUAAUAUAAAAACAAUAAUUGUUUGAUUUAAUUACAUACCUUGCUCAAGUUUUUCAAGUUCUUCUAAAUCUUCUUCAAUAUUUAAGUAAGAUGAUCUAAUCCAAUCUUGUGCACAUAUUAAUACCUCUACUAUUUUAAGAGUAAAAAAACUCCUAAAUAAGUCAAACACUCUUCCUUCGAUACUAAAGGCACUCUCUGAAGCCAUUGUCGAUAAGAACUGCCGAUAUAUCUCUAACCAUUCAUCUUCGACCAUUUUAAGACAUCAAAACAUUCUUUGUCAUCUUAAGUUACUUCAUUAAUAUUGACAUCUAACUUAGUUUUUACUUCUCUACCAUCAAAAUCUAAAAGUUUUUGCUUUUUGUAGUGUUGCUUCAGAAAGAUUUUGGCCUUGCACUUAUUAAACCAAGAUCAAUGUUACUUGUACUUACUUGAAAUCCACCAUUGUCACUAGACUGGCCAUUUUGAGGUUGAUACAUAUUUUUAUAUUCAUUAAACAAUUCUUUCACAGAGUUUUCACACUUAUAAAUAAACUUUCGCCAUUUUCUUUGCCAUACAUCUUCUCAUAUGCAUAUUCCAUGAAACUCUAAUUUAUCAUGAGGAUCAAGAACAACGGCUACAUAGAUAAGUUUAGUCAUUUUGGUUAUAUCACUCCAAUACUUAUCAAAUUUGACCCUCAUUUUCUCACCCAUAAGCUUCACAUCUUUUUUCUGAAUUGUUUUGUCAUUCACUCAAAAUAAAACACAAAUAACUAAUAUCACUAAAGAACAAGUUUGAUAUGACAUAUCUUGAACCAAAUAUAUGCAAAGUAAGCUCAUAGAAAUGAGAUAACAUAUGAGCCAUAUCUAGCUUCUUCACAAUCCAAGCGGUUGAAAAUCUUUUCAUCUAACUCAAUCUUAAAUGUUGGGUUUUAUGACUCAUACUUCUCAUAUGCUCUAUCAUAUUUUUCUGUUGCUUUCAGCAUUAAAUAUGUAGAAUUCCAUCUAGUAGGCACGUCUAAACGUAAAGAUCACUUGCAUUCAAUUUUUUCAUAUUCAAAACACUCUAAAUUUUUUCAAUCUAGUUGGAGAACUCUGAAUAUACCUCACUGCAUUCCUCAUCCUUGUUGCUAACUCAUUCACAUCUUUUAAUCCAUCCAUUACAACUAAAUUAAUAAUAUGGAAAAUUACUAUUAUGUACCUGUAUAUAUUGAAAUACAACUAGUCAGUCUCUGCUUUGCUAAAAAUGCUUUUUGAAGUCCCUAAAUUUCAAUUCCGUCUGAUAUUGAGUCAUUCCAUUGGAUUUCAUGUGUCUUGUCAUUUAGUCAAUACCAAAAAAAUAAAAAAAAAAAGUCAUAUGAGAGAGCAAAAUUUCAUACCUAAAAUAUCCUUGAGACUAAUGUUUAAUAAUAAUAAUUUUUAUCUUAUUUUUUGGUCAACCAAAUUAGAGUGCAAUUUGUAAUUAAAGAAAUUUAACCAUGCCCUUUUUAAAUCAAAAUCUGAAUUAUCUAAAUAUAUAUAUUUAAAAUUCAAAAAAAAAAUCAAAUGCCUUGUAUUUACACGUAUUCAUUUAAAAUAAUAAUGUUGAAGAUAAAUUACAAUAAAAAUAAAUAAGAAUAAAAUAAUAAAUAAUAGUAAUAAAUUAUUAAAAUUAUUAAAUUAUUAUUAAUAAUUUAUAUAAUAUAUAAUGAAAUAAAACAUAAUUAUACAUAAUAAGAUAAUAAUAGCUAAAUUUUGAAUUUUCAAAUACUUAAUCAUCUAUAUGUAUUUAUCUAUUAACAAAAGUUAAAAAAACAUCCAAACCAAUUAUAGAGAUAAUAUAUAUAUAUAUAUAUAUAUAUAUAUAUAUAUAUAUAUAUACACACACGUAUUUAAUUAGUUUUACAUAUGUACAUAUACCGUAUAUAUCUUGCAUACUGUAUAUACUACAUAUAUGUCUAUAUCGUAUUUACUGUUGCUGUUGUACCCUUUUAUUUUUUAUUAGGCGCUACAAAACAAAAUAUUUCAAUGUUUCAUUCAUCUCUUGUAAGGUUAUUUUUGGUAUUAUUUAAAUUUUUUUGACCAAAAUUGUUAUUAUCUUAAUUUGUAUUCUUUUCUGACAUUUUGUUAAAAUUGGAACCUCAUAUAUGAUAUUUGUUAAAUUGCCCCAUAAUUUAACAAUAAAUCAAGUUCACGUGAUAAAAGAACAAGCCAAUAAUAACUUCAAGCUUGAUCAUCAAAUCUCAUCCAUGUGACAAGUCCCUAACCUAAAAGUUCACAAUUCCAUCAUUUUCUCCAAACCUAAAAAAAAUGGAUAGAAACAUAAAUUAAUAAUUGUUCAUCAUAUAUAAUUAUGGAGCCUAUAUACAUAAUGACAUGAAGAUCACAAAUUAUUAAACAUCAAUGAACCUGUUAAAAAAAAGCUCUAACUUAUAGCAUUUGAUACCAUAGCAUCAAUUGUGAUUUCAAUUGAAGGUAGAGCUAAAAUUAAAAUCAAACAAUAAUCAACAUGUAUGCUCAAAUGAAAAUACUAAAUAAUAUAAAAACAAUAAUUGUUUGAUUUAAUUACAUACCUUGCUCAAGUUUUUCAAGUUCUUCUAAAUCUUCUUCAAUAUUUAAGUAAGAUGAUCUAAUCCAAUCUUGUGCACAUAUUAAUACCUCUACUAUUUUAAGAGUAAAAAAACUCCUAAAUAAGUCAAACACUCUUCCUUCGAUACUAAAGGCACUCUCUGAAGCCAUUGUCGAUAAGAACUGCCGAUAUAUCUCUAACCAUUCAUCUUCGACCAUUUUAAGACAUCAAAACAUUCUUUGUCAUCUUAAGUUACUUCAUUAAUAUUGACAUCUAACUUAGUUUUUACUUCUCUACCAUCAAAAUCUAAAAGUUUUUGCUUUUUGUAGUGUUGCUUCAGAAAGAUUUUGGCCUUGCACUUAUUAAACCAAGAUCAAUGUUACUUGUACUUACUUGAAAUCCACCAUUGUCACUAGACUGGCCAUUUUGAGGUUGAUACAUAUUUUUAUAUUCAUUAAACAAUUCUUUCACAGAGUUUUCACACUUAUAAAUAAACUUUCGCCAUUUUCUUUGCCAUACAUCUUCUCAUAUGCAUAUUCCAUGAAACUCUAAUUUAUCAUGAGGAUCAAGAACAACGGCUACAUAGAUAAGUUUAGUCAUUUUGGUUAUAUCACUCCAAUACUUAUCAAAUUUGACCCUCAUUUUCUCACCCAUAAGCUUCACAUCUUUUUUCUGAAUUGUUUUGUCAUUCACUCAAAAUAAAACACAAAUAACUAAUAUCACUAAAGAACAAGUUUGAUAUGACAUAUCUUGAACCAAAUAUAUGCAAAGUAAGCUCAUAGAAAUGAGAUAACAUAUGAGCCAUAUCUAGCUUCUUCACAAUCCAAGCGGUUGAAAAUCUUUUCAUCUAACUCAAUCUUAAAUGUUGGGUUUUAUGACUCAUACUUCUCAUAUGCUCUAUCAUAUUUUUCUGUUGCUUUCAGCAUUAAAUAUGUAGAAUUCCAUCUAGUAGGCACGUCUAAACGUAAAGAUCACUUGCAUUCAAUUUUUUCAUAUUCAAAACACUCUAAAUUUUUUCAAUCUAGUUGGAGAACUCUGAAUAUACCUCACUGCAUUCCUCAUCCUUGUUGCUAACUCAUUCACAUCUUUUAAUCCAUCCAUUACAACUAAAUUAAUAAUAUGGAAAAUUACUAUUAUGUACCUGUAUAUAUUGAAAUACAACUAGUCAGUCUCUGCUUUGCUAAAAAUGCUUUUUGAAGUCCCUAAAUUUCAAUUCCGUCUGAUAUUGAGUCAUUCCAUUGGAUUUCAUGUGUCUUGUCAUUUAGUCAAUACCAAAAAAAUAAAAAAAAAAAGUCAUAUGAGAGAGCAAAAUUUCAUACCUAAAAUAUCCUUGAGACUCACAAGAACUCAUUGACACACAGAUUCUUCUAUUAAACAAAUAAGAACAUGAAUCUGCUAAUAGAAAAUCUACCUUAAUUAACACAAAACAACAAUUACAUUUAAUUUUCAUAAUAAUUUAUAGGAUUUUUCUAGAAAAAAAAACAUAAUAGAGGAAAAAUAACAAAUGCAAAUGCAUUUUGCUAGUGACUUUGCGCAGCUUUUAGUAAUCAUAUGCUUAAUGGCAGCCUUCAAAUUCCAUCCAUAUGAUAGCUAGCAAACCCAUCAAGGCAAGUGUGUUUAUCGGUUAAUGAUGAACUAACCCAGGUCUGCAAAUUACUCGUAUGCAAAACAAAAUCUUGACCAUAACUUGAAUCCAUAAACAAAAUAUGGAUUUUUUUUUAUCCCAAUAAAAGAUUAAUUUGACUGAAAAUAUUUUAAAUUCAAAAAAUUAAAAUUAUAAACGAAUUGCUGACCAAGAUGAUAAGGAGAUACACUUAAUUACAUGCUUAACAAGCUAGAAAAUUUCUACGACUAUGAGAAAUGUGAAAGGAGCAACAAACCCAUAAGAGAUCCUUCACCAUUGCGCGCCGCUUAGCUCUCUGUUUCCAUCAUUUGGAUAUGGGUGGUGAAGUGGGUAAAUACGAAGGAAAUCUAAAUGUUGACAAAAUAAGAUUAAUGCACCGCUGGUUUAAUCUGACAUGUCGACCUCCACUGCUGAUUUAGAUGAGAGCAUGAGAGGAAGAAUCAUGAGAAGGUUGAGUUUGCAGGUAGAGGUGAUGACCAAAAAGGAGUUUUUGGUGAGUAAUAGAUGAGACCUAUUUGUAUUAGCUAACCAAACAAUAACAUCCAAUUUAUUAUUGUACUAGAUUUGAAGAUUAAAUUAGGGGAUCGGAGAAUCCAUGAUUUAGGUAAAGAGGCUAGAGGAGAAAGAGAGCCCUUUAAAUAGAUGAAAGGUUAGACAUGAAACUGGUAAGGGUAUUUAGGAUAUUUUGUAUUGAUUUAACUGCCAAAUUGGCUAAAAUAAUGACCGAAUAUUAUACGGAAUUGAAAUAUAAAGACUUUAAAAAGCAUUUCUAAAAAUGUAGGGAUGAACUAGUUGUAUUUCGAUACAUACAGGAAUGUAAUAGUAAUUUUUCCUUAAUAAUAUAUGUCAUACAUCUCAUGUGAAGAUAAUCACAAUUACAUACACCAAUAUUUCAAUUAAUAUUUUAUUUUCAAUAUAUCACCUCUACUAUUUUAAGAGUNNNNNNNNNNNNNNNNNNNNNNNNNNNNNNNNNNNNNNNNNNNNNNNNNNNNNNNNNNNNNNNNNNNNNNNNNNNNNNNNNNNNNNNNNNNNNNNNNNNNNNNNNNNNNNNNNNNNNNNNNNNNNNNNNNNNNNNNNNNNNNNNNNNNNNNNNNNNNNNNNNNNNNNNNNNNNNNNNNNNNNNNNNNNNNNNNNNNNNNNNNNNNNNNNNNNNNNNNNNNNNNNNNNNNNNNNNNNNNNNNNNNNNNNNNNNNNNNNNNNNNNNNNNNNNNNNNNNNNNNNNNNNNNNNNNNNNNNNNNNNNNNNNNNNNNNNNNNNNNNNNNNNNNNNNNNNNNNNNNNNNNNNNNNNNNNNNNNNNNNNNNNNNNNNNNNNNNNNNNNNNNNNNNUUAUCUAAAUAUAUAUAUUUAAAAAGGUUCUCUCCUCACUGUCAUUCCAAUUUUGCAUAAGCAAAUUAAAAAAAUUCCUAAUUGCGCAUCAUAAAACCUACACUCAUAAUAAAAACAGAAAAUGCACAAUAAAUGAAAAACAGAAACCAGUAGUUUCAUCCAUUAAUCUCAUAUGUCAAUCCUAACAUAGUAUCACAAAGAUCAAGGGACUACACAAUUUUAUCAAAAUCCAUCAACUUCGUCCUACAAAUUAACAAAAUAUGGCAAAACUACAUACAACAAGAGCAUAAGAGAAUAAUAACUGGAAUGGCCUAAGCUUUCUUUGGAGACUUUGUUCCCUUGGAUGGAGACUUGGGUUCCUUAGUUGCUGCCUUCUCUGACUUCUUGGGCAAUAGAACAGGGUUAAUAUUGGGAAGAACACCUCCAUGAGCAAUUGUCACUCCUGCAAGCAACUUUCCAAGCUCUUCAUCAUUCCUAACGGCAAGCAAUACAUGCCUUGGUAUUAUUCUAUUCUUCUUAUUAUCUCUGGCAGCAUUACCGGCCAACUCAAGUACCUACACACCCAAAACAGAAAAUAAUUAGGGUUUCAUUUAACUAGCUAGGAAUGCACAAUCACAUUAGGCUCAACCCUAAUUUGAGUUCACAGAUGCCAAAAUUAUUUUGCUAAAUUUUCAAUAACAUAGCUUUGCCACCAUUUUCUCAACAACCAACCACACAUUGAGAGCCAAAUUAUCAAAACCCCCAAAUUUAACACAGCUGAACAUUUCUAGCCAAACCCAACAACUAUAGAUAAGAAACAUAGCCAAAAACAUAAAAUCAGGAUGAUUAAGAGAGUGAGAGAGAAAGCUUACUUCAGCAGCUAGGUACUCGAGCACAGCAGCCAAGUAAACAGGAGCUCCGGAUCCGACCCGCUGCGCAUACCUUCCCUUCUUCAGGUAACGACCGAUCCUCCCAACGGGAAACUGAAGGCCAGCCUUAACGGACCUAGAAGUAGGCUUCUUCUUCGGGCCUCCACCCUUCCUACCACCGGCACCCUUUUUGACUUUAGCUCCGGCGUCCAUGUCCGCAGAAAGUCCGACCCGUUUAAGAGAGAGAGAGAGAAAAAUAUGAUGUUUAUCGUACAGCAAGGUAACGUGCCGUUGUAUCACCGUUUUAUAGCCUGGUGUCGGGACGUGAGCGUGUGAGAAGUGGGACUGUGGGAGGAGGAAGACCGUUGGAUUGGGGUCUUACUAAGGGUUCUGGAUAGUUUAGAUGGCAAUCCGCGUGAUUUGAAAUGGACCAAUAGGAAGCGAGAGAGUUUGGCUGUUCUAAUUUUCUAUUUAGAAAAUUUUUAGCGCCAGUUUAAAAUGUUUUUGCUUUCCCGCUACAAUUUUCAAAUAGCUUGCAGACUUUUGGGUUGAUUUGUUUGCAUUUUAAUUCAGAUACUUUCUUCCCUAUAUUCUUUAGGCUAUAUUUGGAUGGAGAGGAAAAAAAGAAAAAUGAUGAAAAUUUUUUUUUCUUUAUUAUUUUCCUUUUUCUUAUUUGAAUAGCAAAGGUUACAAAUAUAUGAUGAAAAAUAUAUAAUUACUAUCAUUUUACAAUUUUAAACAUAUCCUUACAUGAUAAUUAAUUUAAAAUAUUAUUUUAAGAUAAAAAUUAAAAAUAUAAAUGCAAAAGUGAUAAAAUAUUAAUAUUUAUUGCCAUGUCAAUAAUUAAUGAUUACUUAUUUCAUUUUGAUAAUUUUUGAGAAUGAUAAUUUGCUCUAUAAAUAAAAGUCAUUAUUCGAUCCAACAAAUGUAUUUUGAAGAGCUUGUAGUAUAGACGUCUUUAUUUGAAAUAUGCUCGAUGGAAUCAAAGCGUGUACCUGUGAAUUUUGAGUUACUAAUACUUAUGUUCGUUUAGAUUUUUACUAUAUAUUAGUUCUUUUUAAAAUGUGCAAUGCUCGUUGACUAUACUUGUUAUGUGCUCAUUUUUAUACUCGUUUAGCUUUUUUAUUUAUAUAAUUAAACUAUAAAUUAUUUAUUUAGAUUGCAAUAAAUAUAGUGAUUUUUAUAUAUACAGAGUAAAAUAUUCUUUUUAAUUAUAUAUCUUAUACUGUAAUAUCUCAUUGAAAAAAAAUUUGAUAUAUUUGUUUCUCUCUUUAAAAUAGCAAUUCAAAUAUGAAAUAUGUCAUUUAUAUUUUAUUCAACAUAUUGAUUCUUAUAGUUUUCAUUAUACGCUAGUUGUUUUUAUUUUUCGUUUAAGUACCAAAUUGAUUUCUAAAAAUUAUUAUAUAACUUUUAUUUUACGUUUUAUAAUUAAUUUAUGUAUUUUUGUUAAUAAAUUUCAUUAUAAUAUCUUUUAAUAAAUAAAUAUACUUUAACAAUAUAAUAAGAAAUUAAUCUAAGAAUCAAAUUAAAUGUUUAUAAAUAAUAAUAAAUUUUAUUUUCAUUUUUUUAGCCUAUCAAAAUCACGAAAUCAUUUAAAAAAUUUAUUAUUAAAAUCAUAUUCCUUAAUAGAAAGAAUAAAAUUUGAAUUAAAUAAGAUAUUAAUAUAAUUAAUCAAAUUUGAAAUGUUUAAUAAUAAUAAUUUUUAUCUUAUUUUUUGGUCAACCAAAUUAGAGUGCAAUUUGUAAUUAAAGAAAUUUAACCAUGCCCUUUUUAAAUCAAAAUCUGAAUUAUCUAAAUAUAUAUAUUUAAAAUUCAAAAAAAAAAUCAAAUGCCUUGUAUUUACACGUAUUCAUUUAAAAUAAUAAUGUUGAAGAUAAAUUACAAUAAAAAUAAAUAAGAAUAAAAUAAUAAAUAAUAGUAAUAAAUUAUUAAAAUUAUUAAAUUAUUAUUAAUAAUUUAUAUAAUAUAUAUAUAAUAUAUAAUGAAAUAAAACAUAAUUAUACAUAAUAAGAUAAUAAUAGCUAAAUUUUGAAUUUUCAAAUACUUAAUCAUCUAUAUGUAUUUAUCUAUUAACAAAAGUUAAAAAAACAUCCAAACCAAUUAUAGAGAUAAUAUAUAUAUAUAUAUAUAUUUAUAUUAAAAUUUUUUAAUUGGCUAUGACUAGGGUUAUUUUAGAGUAUCUUAACUUUUACAAGAACAACAUAGUAAAUCUCAUUAUUUCCUCUCCUCUCAUUCCCAUUUUAUAUAUAGUAUGGAUAAAUAGAUAUAUUAUAGAUUAUAAAUUUAUUUUAUUAUCUAUUAAGUUAAAUAGAGCAAAAUAAUGUAUAUAAUAAAUAUUGAAAAUAUGUAAUAUGUAUUUAGCUCUAACAUUUAAUUUAAAUCCUCAAUUGAAUAAAUUAAAAACAUAUGUAGUAAAUAAAAGAAUAUUUAAUUUUCAUGUAUAGCCUUAUUAUGUAACAUUAAGAUAAUUAUAAAUAAAAUAUAUUUAUUAAUUUAUAGUUAAUGUUAAUUAUCUAUUAAGCAUAAUAUUUAAAAUAAAAUUUAAUUGGUCAUUAAUAAGGUUAAUUUAGAACAUUUAAAAUUUUACUAAGGGCAUUAUAGGUAAUCUCAUUAUUCCCUUUCAUUUCUAAUUUUAUAUAUAGUAUAGAUAGAUAUAUAUAUUUGUAAUAAACACUUGUUUAAAUAUCCGUACUAAAUUCGCUUUGAAUUUUAUUAUUAACCUAUUUAAAGUAUCCUUUAAAUUGAUAGAGUAUCCAAAAUUUUAAAAUUUUGGAAACUAAAUUUAUUUAAAAUAUAUUUUUUAGUAAUAGUUCGAUAGGGUACUUGGGACUCCACGGCUAAACUUGUCUACUAUAAAGGGUAACAAUACGGUUACCCAAAUAUAUGUAUCCAUUGUUAUGGAUGAUAAUUCAUUAUUUACACUUAUCUGAAACGCAUUUGUAACUAUUUAUAUAUUCAUUAAACGGAUCAGAACAAAGUGAGUAUUCUAAAAUACCCAUUUUGCUUCCAUGUGCUAUAUUGAAAAAAGAAUGAAUGGCAAUACUAAAACAUAAUAUACAAGAGUAUUUUUGUAAUUUAAUAAUGUAUAGUGUUAUCUUUUCCUUAUAUACUUUAUUUUUUUGUCUAAUUUGGGCAGAUUACAUAUUAUGGACUUCGGAGCAUUUCAAUACAAACUUUAUUUCUUUAGUUAUUUUCUUCCAUAUUUCUAACAAGGGAAAAUAACUCUAUCUUAUUAUUUUUUUUCAACUAUUUUAUUGUCUCACAUUAAAAGAAUUCAUUAUUUAUUAUUGAAUUCGACUCAAAAAAACGUAUUUUGUUGGGUGAUUCAAAAGCAAAAGCAUCCUUUGCAUUGAUGGAAAUAUUUUAAUAAAUUAAAUAUGAUGGUGUUUUCUUUGGAGCAUACGAAAUUUCACUGUAUAAACAAAAAUGGAAAUCAUUUUACUGUGAGUUGAGGCAACUGCAAUAUUUUUAAAUUGGGUAUAAUCUGAUUUGAUAUGAGUUUUUUGAACUCCAUAGCUGCGAUUUUAUAUUGGCUGUGUUGGUUAAUAUUGGUAUUUGGUUGCUUUUGGCAGAUCAAACCUGUUACCGUUGUGAACUUUGCUUGCUAGCUCUCAUUCAUCAUUGCUGUUCUCAAGAAAUGAUUUCGGAUGGUGGCUAUAACUAUAGAAUUAUUGCACGUAUUGUUUUGGCUUUAUAAUUUUUUGGGAUAUUGGUUAAUAGUUUUAGUUUUUUACUAUAUUUAGUUUUGAUAAGCAUAGAUAUUUUAACUAUAUUUUUUUACUUAAAUUAUCCGAAUUAGGUUGGGUGUUUAUUGGCUCGGGUUAGUAUUUAAUAAAAUAAAUUUUACUUGAACAUUAUAAGUUAAUAAAAUUUAACUCUUUGCUGAUAAAAAAAAUAUACCUCAUCUUUAGUAAUUUAUAGAUACAUGUGUCACAUGCACUCAUCUAACCUUGAUCUCUUCUUUUCACCAGACUGCUUGUUUCAAGAUGGUGCAUUAUUUAUCAUUCUUUUUUAAGUAUAUACUUUUAAAUUUCAAUACUUCUCAUUAAGCUUGUUGCCACUAGAAGUAGAACCUUGUAUUUAUUUUAGAAUAUCUCCUAAUUAUUUUAAAGCAACUAGAAAGAGAUUCUCUAAAAAAAAAAAAAAUUUCCGAACACCUUUUAUAACUCACUAUUGUUAUAAAAACCAAAAGUAAAAAUGGAAAAAAGAAAAAAAAAAAAGCAAAUAAAUAGAAUAAUAAGAGAAAGGUGAGCUUGGAUUGGAACAGAGAGAUUGUUUUUUUUUUUUUUUUUGAAAAGAAGAACAGAGAGAUUGUUGAUCGAUGAGUUAUAAAUAUAAAGAAUUGUUGAGAAAGCUAAAUGCAUCAAAUGAAAGACAGAAAUAAAGAGAGAGACACAGAAUAGAAGGUUUCAAUUAAGAAAAUAAAAUGAAGUGAAAUGAUAAAAAAAGAUAUGAAAAAUUGAUUUUUCAUAGAAUUAUUAGGUCGUAUUUUUAUGUUUCACACUCUUAAGGGUGUAGUUUUACGUAAUGGCUUCAUAUUUUUUUAUGCAUGUGAAAUCAACAACUUAACUUUAGGAGCAUAAUAAGUUAUGGUUAAAAAUUAAAAUGCCUUAAAGAUUUUUUUUUUUUUUUUUUAAUUUAGAUGUGAAUUUUUGCUUUUAGCCUAUUUUUAAUAUAAAAUUGCACUCGUACUAUUAACUAAUAUUUCAACUUAUUUUCAUUGUAAACACUAAAUAAAUUAAAAUUAAAUGUAAACUUUUUGUUACAUUUCAAAAUCAAAUAUAAAAUGCAAUCAUCACUUUUUCUCUCAAUGCAUUUUCUAUUAUUUGAAAAUUUAAAUAAUAGAAAAAUGAACAAAUUAAUGAUCAAAUUAUAACGAUGAUAUCUACGUCCACAAGAAGAUGUUUCCGUUAUGUAGAAAAAUAAUUUACGAUGUAUUAGGAUAAUAAAAAAAGCUAGAUUUAAAAAGGAGAAAAGAAAAGAAAUGAACAAGUCUUGUAUAUUUAUCACUAACUUUUUUUUUUUUUUUUGAGAAGGAUUUUUUUUUUAAUCUUUUGAUUCCACCAUUGGUUGAAAUAUCAUUAUUGUCUAACCAUACUUGCUAAUUUUAUGAAAAUUUAGUAUUAAUCUAUACUAAUUUUUCAUUCUUUAUUACCAAUUCUGUGGUCUAAAAACUGAGAAGCGUUUAGAGGCUCAGCCCAUCGUUAAAUGGAGACCCUAGCCUAUGUCUUGGGAGGGUACGGUCCAUCCCAAAUUAGAAACCCAAGAUGGGCCCAAGCUAAUAAACUAACAGGUAGGUCACUGCUGAUUAGUACUUGGGUACGGAGUUAGUUUCAAAUCUCAGUCGUCGACCGACCAGGAAAGCAAUGGAGCUGCGGGGGUUAAAAUUGACAUUUAGAUAUUAGCCACGCGUCUCAUUUUCAUUGGACAGACGUGCUUUGUCUCUGUUGUCACGCAUGAGCACCAUCAUGAUAUUUGGCCGACGGUGGAGCCAUCCAAAAAUAUUCCUAAUUCCUAAAUUAAUUCUGAAUUUCCAUUGAAAUUAAAAGAAAAAGAAGAAAAAAAGAACAGUCGCUUCUCCAUUAUCCAAGUCUCCGUUUUAGAAGAAAAGCCUUAAAUACCUUUCUCUAUCUAUCGACAGACACAUCUAUAAAUAUCUCUCUCUAUCUUCUAAUUUUUAUUUGCUUUGCCAUUAUCAACUUCUUUGCUGCUUGAUCUCUAGAACCAUGGUCAGUCUUGCUUCACUCUUCACUUUACUUUUGUUUUUCCACAAUUGAAGACACAGUUUUGUUUGAUCUGCGAUUUUUAUUUAGUUUAGAUCUUUAAUUUAGUGGUAGAUCUUCCAAUUCGGUGUUGAUUGAUAUAGUUUACAAUAGAAUGACUUGAUCUUUGGUCUGUUAUUGUGUGUGCUUAGCUGUUUGUGGAUCUUAUUUUUGCUUUGAAUUGUUAAUUGGAUUUUUGUUAAUUUUUGAUUAUAAAGGUUGUGGUGAUACAGUAGAGUAGAUUGAUAGAAUUUUUGGAAUGUAGGUUAAUUAAUGGAGUUCCUUUGGCCCUAAUCAGUUCAUUUGGUGGUGGUGAUGGCGCUUGUUUUUUGCGCAUAAAUGUUAUAUCUACCUUUCCUGAAUUGAUAGUAAAAGGAUUGCUGAUCAGGACAAUGGAUCUGUUAUUGUUUGGAAUCGUUUUUAUAAUAAAUCUUGAUGGUCCGAUCUAAUGGUGAUAGCCUUCGGUGAAUUUUGGUUAUGUAUAUGAUUGGCACCAUUUGCGUCUUUUGUGUCCAAAGGUUACUUGCACUAUUUUGACUUUGAUCUUCCUUAACUUCGAAAAUUUUGUGCACUGCGUGAUUAAAUGGACACAUUGAACAGCUAAUGAGCUGCCUUGUGAUGUCGAAUCAGCUUUAUUAUUGUUUGAUUGUACACCUUAUGAUGAGCAAGUACGUCUGUUGCUGGCAUAUAUUAUGACUCGGUUUUAUGUGAAGAUAUCUGGGCUUUUAGCCAUGCGUUAUUUUUCUUAUUUUAACAAGAUGGAUUUGUUCUUGUCUUGGUAUUGGUAAUGGUAGCAAGUAGGUUAUAUUCUUCCAGAAAACUUUGAAGCUGUAAUUCCAAUGAUCUUUUAUUUUUCCUUUUCUUUCCUACUAAUACCUUUUAAUUGUUGUUUUUGAAGAAAAAGAAGCUUAUGAUUUCUGAUUUUCAAGAGAUUCAAUGCUGGAUUAUACCUUGAAUAUUAUAAUCAGAUUCUUAUUUCAAGACUUUAUGAUGGGAUGUUUUGGUUCAUUUGGUUAACCAGUUGUGUGUGGUAAUGUAAGGGUAUUGAGAUGUACAGUUAAAUUUAAAACCCCUGGCCCUGUUGUAUUGCUGGGAAAGAUGUGGAUUAGGACGUAGAACUCGAAGCAGUAUAGUUGAAAUGUCUUUGAAUUUGGUUAUGGUUAUUUACUUUUGAACUCUUGCCCUUGCAACAUGCACACUUGUCAAACGAGAAUAAGUUGAGCAAAUAACAGUACAGGGACUUCAGGAAACUGUACUACAAUUGUUUAAAGCUUUGACUUGCUGUAUAUUUUCUCUACAUUUCUCUCUGCAGGCAAACGCGGCAUCUGGUAUGGCUGUGCAUGAUGAUUGUAAGCUAAGGUUUUUGGAGUUGAAAGCUAAGCGAACUUACCGCUUCAUAGUCUUUAAGAUUGAGGAGAAGCAGAAGCAGGUUGUUGUGGAAAAGCUUGGUGAACCAACCCAAAGUUACGAAGAUUUUACUGCAAGCCUCCCUGCUGAUGAGUGCCGAUAUGCUGUUUAUGACUUUGACUUUGUGACUGCAGAGAAUUGCCAAAAGAGCAGAAUUUUCUUCAUUGCAUGGUAAUAACUUGUGCUAAAAAUAGUUGUGGCAUGCUUGUGUGUGUAUUUCUGGCAGGCCCUUUAACUAAUGACGUUUUUGUCAAUUACUAUAUGCAAAGGUCUCCUGACACAUCAAGGGUGAGAAGCAAGAUGAUCUAUGCAAGUUCUAAGGAUAGGUUCAAGAGAGAACUAGAUGGAAUUCAGGUAGAGUUGCAGGCAACUGAUCCAACUGAAAUGGGUCUUGAUGUCAUUAGGAGCCGUGCCAGCUAAAUUAGGAAUUUCCUAAUCCUAAUUUCGCAAUGAAGAGGUUCUUAUGCACUCCUAAGCGAAAUGUUUAUAGUUCAUGGGCGGUGAACCUGACUGAAUUAUGUUACUGGUUUGUUGUUUGAGUUUUACCCUAUAGUGCUCUUUUGAAACAGUCUCAAUGAUUUUGAUUAUAUUUUUAUGAUCUGUUAUGUACUGAACUUAUGCAAUGUGUGUUUCUUCAUUGUUAUGUUUGCAAUAUAUGGUGUAUCAUCAUCCAAUGGUAGAGAACUCGGGUUUGUAUUUGCAACGCUGAAAAAUGGAUGCUUUAAUCUUUUCUAACUGGUAAAAGCCUGUCAUUUGCAGAAUUCUAUGUAUUUGCUUAGUUGUACUAGUUUGUAAAACAAAUUUUGUUGGCAUAACCUGUGAUGUGGUUAUUAGCUUUAAUUCUAGUCAGGGGGUUCAUCUAGUAAUAGAAGUAAACUAAUAUGUUAUUACAUUAAACAAGCCAGUAAUCAUAAUUAUAUACUACUCUCUCCUUACCACUUCAAACCGUCCGUUUUGACCUUUUUUUCCCUUUAAGUGUCCAUUUUUUUAAUUCAUAACUUUCUCAUUAUACCCUUAUUUAAGUUGCACUGGAGUACUAUCUUUUACACAAAAAAUGUAAGCUUAAAAAAAUUAUAGAAGUGUAUUUAUGUAAAUUGUGGCGAGCUUUUUAUAAAAUUAAGGUGAAUAAACUAUUUUCUUAAUCUAUGUGUGAAAGGUCAGUAUAUAUUUGAAGUGGAAUGGAGGGAGGAUUACAAAGGAAUCUUAAUUAAUAGUAUAAAUGGUAGAAAAUUAGUUAAUUAGGUCAUCGCGUUUUAAAAAAAUCAUUAAUGCCCACUAUAUUCAAAAUACCGCUUCCUUCCAAAAGCAUGUCGUUUAACUUGUGUAUUAGCAUUUGAAAUUACGAAAAUGAUAUGAAACAGUUUAAUUAGCAUAACCACAUUACCAUUAGAUAAGUAAAUUGAUGACAGUUCUUGAAGUGGUAAUUCAGUGACUGGAACCAAGUGGACCUAAAAAAUUGGCUUAAAAAAUUAAUCACUUUAAAUUAUUGCUUCAACAAAACUAAUAGUAGGCCAACAAGGGUGUUUAACCAAUCCUAACACAAUAUGAUAUUCUAAUGCUAUGAUUUUCUCCUAGCUAGCUUCAGCAUUUUCCUUUUGACCAUCAAAUUUGUGGUUCUAGGCCAAGAGCACAGACUAUCAACCAACUCAAUGCCACAAGAACCCUGUUAAGUUUUCUAUUCAACACAUAUGGCACAACUAUUUACAAGCAAAAUUACCUAUCAGCGGACAAAACUGAGCUUUGCGAGUCAGCUCCCUGAAUAAGAGUAUCGUACGUCACUUGAUUUACCUUCAUACCUCUUCUUGUCAUGUCAUCCUGCAAUUCCAAAGCUUUUUCUAGUUCUCCAGCUAUGCAGCAACCAUAUAUCAUAAAAUUAUAUGAUAGCUUAUCUGGUUUGACACCCUUGUCUAGCAUAGAUUGCCACAAUUUGGUGGCUUCUUGUAAAUUCCGCCUUCUGCAAUGCUCAUAGAUGAUUGUUGAAUAAGUGAUGUGAUCCGGGAAAAUACCACUGGCUACCAUUCCAUGUAAAAGCUCUGUUGCUUCCUGAAUCCUACCCAAUUUGCAAAAUCCCCGAAUAAGUAUAUUAUAUGAAACGGUGUUUGCUAGAAACCCUUUAAGCAAUGUGUUGUGAAGCUCUACAGCUUUAUCCAUGUUCCCUUCCCUGGAAAGUUGGUCAAGGAAGCAACCAAAUGUGAAUUGGUUUGGAAUUGAAUUGCCAACCAAUAUUUCCUUACAAAGAAUCUCAGCCUUGUCCAUGAAUCCUGCCUUACACAAUCCAUUUAUCAGAGCAGUGUAUGUUACAAUAUUUGGAAUGCAUCCUUCAUCAACCAUUAUAUCCCAAAGCCCAAAUGCCUCCUUAAAAUUACCUGCCUUGCUGUGUCUAUCAAUCAUGUUUGUAUAUGUUACAUUAUCGGGUCUCAAUCCACGAUCAUGCAUUUCUUUCAAAAGACCAAAUAAUGUCCUAGAAUCAUGUCCUUUCAUAGUUCCAUCUAUGAGUAUAGCAUAACAUACAAGAUCCAUGUCCACACCUCUCUCCACCAUCUCACGAGAAGCAUUCAGUGCUUCCCUGAACCUCCCUUCCUUGCAAAAACCGUGCAAAAGUACACCAUAGCACAUUUCAUUUACCUUGCGAUUCAUUUUGUGAAGGUCAUCAAUGAACUCUUUCGCUUCAGAUGCUCUUCCAGUAGAACAUAGACCACUUAUUAGAGGUCUAUAGGUAUACGUAUCUGGGACAAGGCCCUUCUCUACCAUCUCAUCAAGCAAGCCGAAGGCUUUUACCGUAUUUCCUUCCCUGCAAUAUCCUUCAAUCAUAACAUUGUAAGUAACCUCAUUUGGCACGAUAUUUCGUUCUCUCAUUUCAUCUAGCAAUCUUAUUGCCUCAGCCAUCUUAUUUGCUUGACAGAGGCCAGAUAUCAUUGCAGUAUAGGUAUACGUAUUUGCGGCAAUGCCCUUGCUAUUCAUCUCAUGAUACAAUCUAAACGCCUUAUUCAACUCUCCUUCAUUACAAUAUCCGCUUAUUAGGGAUGUGUAGGUUACAACUGUUGGAGUUAAUCCAUUAUUGAGCAUCUCAUCAAAACAAGUCUCUGCUGCAAGCAAAUUUCCCAAUUUGCAAUAACCAUUUAUCAAGGAAUUAUAGGGAUACGCUGUAACUUUUAUCCCUUCCUUGAACAUUUUAUCAAGAAAAUGAGUAGCAAGAUCCAAUUUUCCCCUUCUACAAAAUGAAUCAAUCAGAAUGGAAUAAGUAAUAUCAUUCGCGCAUAAACCCUUCUCUUCCAUUUCCUUGAAAAGCAAUUCUGCUUCAUCAAAUUUUCCAUUUUUACACAAAGAAUUCAAAAGUGAAUUGUAUACAAAUAAAUUGGGCAAUACUCCAAACUUUAAAACCCUGUUUACCAAAUAAAAAGCAUCCAUAAUAAGCCCUUUCCUUCUCAGCCCCUCAACAAGACCUGAAACAACUGCCUCGCUAGGGACAAAUCCUAACUCAAUCAUUUCAUUCAAUAUCUCAAUGCCAAGUUCAAACUCUUGCACCUUGCAUAGCCCAAGUACUAUAGUACAAUAAGUUACCACAUUAGCUUUCAACCCUUUUCGGAUCAAAUUGUUCAUAAUGUUAAUUGCCUCCCAAACUCUCUGACCCUUGCAAAGCCCAUGAAUUAACACAUUAUACAAUACUACAUUCAGUUCACAUCCAUUAAACUCCAUCCACUGAAUCAUUUCCUUUGCCUUUACAAAAUCCUUCAACCCACACAGGCUUCGAAUUACAGCUGUAUGAAUGUAGAUAUCAGGCUUAAUAUACCCAUUCACAAUCUCAUCAAACAAAGUUAAAACCAUGUCAAAUCGUCUGAUCAUCAACAAAUCAUUUAAUAGGGCACUCAAAGUCCUCAGUUCAGGCAUCAAAUGAUUCUCCCUCAUUAACCUUAAUAUUAAAACACCAUCAAAAACUCUCUUAUUCUGUACAUAAUUUUGAAUCAACAAGUCAAAACCUAAACAAGAAUUAAAUCUACAUUCCUUAAAAGAAUUCCAGAAAGCCUCAAAAACAUCUCUUGGAUCCAAACCACGAAGAAGCAAAGUUUGCAAGAGUGAAGAAGCAGGCCAGUACAAAUUAGCAUUAAUCAGAGCAUGAAUUAAGAUACAAAACGACAUCGUUGAGUGAUAAAAGUUCUUGUGCAAACCCAGAAAAUUAAAGAACCUCAAAGCUAACCUGGAAUCGUCAAGGGACUGUAUCAAGACUUUCUCAAUAUGGUGAGGCUUUAACUUGCUUGAAAUGAAUGGAUCGUUUAAUGCAAUUUUCCAGCUUUGCUUUCCUCUUAGGAUGCUUGUAAGGAUGGAUAUGAAGUGGGAGUCUGCUUCCUUUUCGUCAUUAUCCUGAAUUGUGGAGGAUUUACAGUUGCAAAAGUAUUUGGGUUUCGAUAGGAAAAUAGCGAUUGGCUUUGAGAUAUGUAUUUGAGGGCGAGAAAGUUUCAUUUUGUGGAUUGAGAUGCAAAGGUAUUUCAGGUCACAGACAUGGAGAAACGGAACAUGGUGAGUUUUCAGAGUUCAGUAGGAAAUGAAACGAAGACAAACUGGUGCGUGGCCAGGGAAGAGUUGGAACUUGGAACUAUGGACUGACUACAGAGGCAACUUUGGCUGGGCUUAUUGAAUGCAUGCAAGCCCAACUCAUGGUAGCUUUAGCCCAAUUUGAAAGAUCUCUAUUUAUCUAGGAAAUUUCUUGACUGCACAUUUGCUUACACCAACCCAAUUAAAAAAAAAUAAAAAAUAUUAUUAUUUUAUCUCUUUUUUUUCUCUAAUAUGGUCAAAAAUAUUUUUGUUUGAACCAAGAUAUUGCUUGUAAUUAGUUUGGUGUAUAUGAUAAGUCUUCCCUAUUUAUCUAAACGAAAGAUACAAUAUUUAUCUAAACGAAAGAUAGAAAACUUAGCUUCCAUUGUUUUAGUAAACUCAUUUAUAAUUUCAUAAUUUUCUGUCAUUUGAAACAUUUUAAAAAAUAAGUCAACAGAAAAUAUUUUUCUAGUAAAAAAAGUUGACUCUCCAUUUUCAAGAAAGAAAAAUAUUUUCCGGAUAUUGACAUUGACAAACUGAAUAUAACCUUAUAAAUUCACGUUUUUAAUUUAUUAAUCACUCAUCAGCCGCCACCACCAGCUAAUAGUUAAUGUCUACUACCACUACCAGCUACCGAUCACUGUCUACAGCCACCACUAGUCAUUGACAAUAUUCAUUUAUUUAUUAUUUUUUACAUUUUUUCUCAUAUUUAACAAUAAUUUUUUUUAAUUAUGAAAUUUUUACUACUACAAAUACAUUUAUGGUCUUAAAAGUUAAAGAUUUUAAAAUGUUUAAUUAAUUUUUAAUAAUGCAAGUAAAUAAUGGAAAAUAAGCUAUUUCAAAAAUAUUUUUCAAGGAAAAUAUGAAAUAUUUCUAAAUAAAAGGUUAUUUUUUAAAAAAUAAAUGAAUCCUGAAUGAUAAAAGAAAAAAAAUACUCAAAAGACUUUAAAAGCCAUAUAUGUGCACCAUAUUAUUAUCUCCAUUCAUUGUUUUCUUUUGAUAACUUAUUUAAUGAAAUAAGUUUAUGACUAAUUGAAUGAAACAAAUUGCUCAAAAACUUGAGAAUAUAUGCAGGGACGUAAUUGAAUGAAACAAAUUAUAUGUAGGGACGUAGCUGCGUUAAGGCAAAGGGGACAAUGAGCCCCUCUGAAAUUUGAAAAAAAAAAAAAUUUGAGCAAUGAUAAAAUAUAAUUGGGUUUUUAAAUUAUAUUUAAAUUAAAUUUUAAGUCCCUCUAAAUUUAAGAAAUAAUUAUAAUAUCCUUAACUUAUGCUUUAUUUACUGUCGAGUUAUUCCAUUUAAAAAAUGAGUUUCUUCCAUUCAAGAAGUGAGCAAAUUUCGUCUAAAAAAUGUUUCUAACCAAUGAUAAGGGCUCACAUUUUAGACGGAAUGACUCGAUUAUGAAACGGAAAUGUAAGUUAGAGACGUUAUAAUUAUUUAUUAAGCAUGAAAGUACUUAAAUGUCAAUUUGGACAUAACUUAAAAUCAAUUAUGUUUUUUUUUUUUUUUUUCUUUCAGUAACUAUUCCUUAAAAAAAAAGUUAAAGUCUAAUAUAAUUUUUAUAAUUUUGUUAGGUUUUAAUUAUUGGUCUUCAUAGUCGACUAUAUUACUUGGUCUAAUAAUUACUAGUUUCUCUCAAUGUAUUAUAAUUUAGACAAUUUAAGAAAUUAUUUUUAGAUUAUAUUAUUUAACUUAAUUGCAUUUUGUAUUCAAUCUAAUUGCAGUAUUUUAUAAAUAAAUUAAUUUUGCGAUAGGAAUUUGAAUUUUCAAUUAUAUCUAAUUAUAAAAUUUUUAUAAUUAUAUAUUAUGGCACAAUACUUUGAAAAGAAAAUCAAUUCUUUAAAAAUCAUUAUCAUCAAUGGUCAAUCAAACUAUUCAGCAUAUUUAAUUAAUAUCCUCUAAAUAAGUCAUAGUUUAAAAACUUGAGCUUAAUAUAGAAGAUAUUCCCAAGACAUAGAAUCUAAUAUAAUGAGUUAUUGUCCACGUAAUGUUAAAAAUUAGGUAUACUAGGAUUACCUACUAAAACAUUCAUAAUAUGUCAAUUAGUAUUGGGUAAUUUACAUUGAAAGAAAUAUAUUUACAAGUAUUAUUAAUAAAGUUAUUUAAAUAGAUUUCAGCAAUGAAAAAUCGGCGAUGAUUAUUAUAACAAUUUAUUUUUAUAUAAGAAAUUAUCAUCACUCAUAUUUACGUUAUUUUUGUAAAUUAUAUUAAUCGGACCCUUAAUGGAUUUUCUAGCUACAUUAUUCAAAGUAUUUAUAUGCAUUCAUUCAAAAUAUUUAUUGAAAAAUUAAUUUGUACUAAAUAGAAAAAGAAAACAACUCAACAAAUGUUUAUUCAAAUGAUAUAAGAAAUAAAUGUUUAACUAAACAAAUAACUUAAUUUAAGAAAUAAAAAUUGUUUAAUUAAAAAUACUAAAAAAUGAAUAAAAAUGAAAUAAUACUUUGUUUAUUGUUUUUUUAAUAACUUAAUUAGUAAAUUAAUUUGUGACCAAAUGAAAAAAGAAAAGAGAUUGAGUUCAAUAAAUACUACACUUAAAUAAUAUAAGAAAUGAUAAUCAAUCAAUUAAACAUUAAUUUGAAUAUUAUAAAAAAUCAGAUCGAGAUAAUUAAAAAAUAUAAAAUUAUUAUUUUAAAUAUUGUAUUAACCACUUAUCAAAUUAAUAUUUUGUGUAUAAAACCUAAAAAUUAAAAAAAAAAAGAAAAGCGUGUGAAAUUAUCACAGAAAGUGAAAUUUUGCGUGUCACAAGACUCUUUUUUUUUUUUAAGAACGUCAAGAAAUUAAUUUUAAAGUUAAAAGCCCCAUAAACUCUUUUUUUUUUUUUUAUCAAGGAUUAAAUUAUGUAUUGACAAAAAAAAAUGCUAUAUAAAAAAACGAAAAGAAAAAACUACUCGAUUAACUAUGGGAAAAAGAAUAGCCGUUUAAUAUCCCAUGUCACCGAUCUAACCCUCAGAAAAUUGACCAAUAAAAACGAACCACGUCGCGAUCCAAUCAGAAGCAGACCAUUUUUCACGCAUCUUUCCAUGCCGUUGAUCUGGAUUCUAUAUCAACGGACAAGACUCUCCAUGUCAUCAAUCCGUGUCACUUCCUAUCUUCCAAUCAAAUCACAUCUUUCCAACCUAUAAAUAAUAAAUCGACACAAUUUAUCUCCUCAUCGCUUCGUGUUGAAAGAAGAAGAAAAGAAAUCAAAACCCCAAAAUUCGCACGCUUUCCAAUGGCGCCAAAGGCAGAGAAGAAGCCAGCCGAGAAGAAACCGGCAGGGGAAAAACCAGCAGAAGAGAAGAAAACGGUAGCAGAGAAGGCUCCGGCAGAGAAAAAGCCAAAAGCCGGCAAGAAACUACCAAAAGAAGGCGGAUCAGCGGCAGUAGACAAGAAGAAGAAGCGAACUAAGAAGAGUACAGAAACAUACAAGAUCUACAUCUUCAAGGUCUUGAAGCAAGUUCAUCCUGAUAUCGGGAUCUCAAGCAAAGCCAUGGGAAUCAUGAAUUCGUUUAUCAACGAUAUAUUCGAGAAGCUUGCACAGGAAUCUUCCAGACUUGCAAGGUAUAAUAAGAAACCUACUAUUACUUCUAGGGAGAUCCAGACUGCUGUGAAAUUAGUUCUUCCUGGAGAAUUGGCCAAGCAUGCUGUAUCUGAGGGUACUAAGGCUGUGACUAAGUUUACUAGUUCUUAGACAAGAAGUAUGAUUUUAGUUUUAGCUUUUGUUACAACAAAAAAAUGGUGAAAAUAGGAUACUUUUUCUUGUUUCACAGUAACUGUUGCUGCUUUGCUUUUGGUUGUGAUUAUGUAAGUAUUCAAAAUUGAUGUGAUAUGAAUUCUGAUUUUCGAUCUUUUUUUUUUGUUAAUUUGCUAAUUGGUAGCUUUUCUGAUAUUCUAUUUACAUUGGAAGUGCUUUGAUUUGGUAUUUUUAACUCCUAAAAAAUAUUUUUCUAUAAUUGAUUGCAACUCUUAAUUAACAGCCUUCACAAGGUCCAAGUGAAAUGAAAAAUCACGAUUUUGGACGUUUUCAAAAUAAAAUAGGCAUAAUUAUAUGUGAAACGACAAAUGAAUUAAAAUUAAAUUAUUUUAUUAAUAAAUUUAAAUUAAGAUUGUUAUCUUAAAAAAAAAAAAAAAAAAAAAAAGGGGGGGGUGUUUUUUUUUUUUUUUUUUUAAAAAAAAAAAAAAAAAAAGGGGGGGGUGUUUUUUUUUUUUUUUUUUUAAAAAAAAAAAAAAAAAAACAGCGGAAAAUUUUUAUAAAAAAAAAAAAAAAAAAAAAAAAACGAGUGGGAUGUUUUUUCUUUUGAACUACAAAGGAGGGCAUUAAAUCCAGAAAAUCAAGAAGUAUCUGUAGCGAAUGGAGACCUAGCAGCCUGGAAGCCGCUUGUUUAGCAAGAGUAUCUGUAGCAAAUUGGUCUCUCGAAAGAUCUUGCAGAGGUUCACUUGCCAAUUCCUCUUCAAAAGAGCCUUGCAACUCGUUACCGGAUUAUGCACUCGAGAGUAUGUUUACACCUUCAAUUAUACUAGUGAACAAGCAUUACUUUAGUAAGCAAUGCCAGUCAUUCUCUGAUAAUUACACCAUUCUCCAUGUCGAAAAGCAAUGUUUUCACCAUCAAUUAAGUCUCAGGAUGAGGAGGGCUGCACAUGCUGCAUGUAAUUCCCAGAUCUUUCGGAGAUUCCAGCAUCAGAUAAGGUGUCCCAGACCUGCAAAUUUCAGUAAAUACAAGUGACCCAUAUCUAUUAUAUAAUUAAAUGUCAUAUAUAUAAAUUAGAGAUGCUAAAUUUAUAUACAACAGGGUUUUUGGCACUCACUUCAAGUUUUCCCUUUGAACCUCCCAUAGCAAGCAAGAAAGGGCUGUCCUAAGAAAAGGAAAUGGAAAAGACACCGCCCUGCAUACAUCAGAGCAGAAUGUGACAAUCAAAUUAUUGAACUUGUAAAAACAAGUUGUAAUCUGAUCAUUGUAUUCCUAGGAUGGAAGUGGAGAAUAAAAACACAUACUGUUUUAGGGUUCUUUGAUGCUACACAAGCUGGUUGGUUGUUUGACAAAUCCCAAAGUUUUACCUGCACAGCGGUAUUGUAAUUAUGUGAAGCACUUAAUACUGCAAGCUAUAUCUAGCUCUUGCAAAAAAAAAAAAAAAAAAAAAAAAAAAACACCACCAUCAAAGUACCAUUUUAUCUGUAGAUCCAGUUGCAAGAAGCUGUCAGAAAUCAUAUAGGCAAACCAGUUAAUAUUUUAAAACACCUAAUAAAAAAUGAGGUUCAAAGCACAGAUAAUUUACAUUAGGCACAAAACGAUUAUAGGAGACUGAGCAAACAGCUUUGUCAUGCGCAUGGAGAGUAAAACUUGGCUUUAAAUCAGAAACUGAAUUAGAGCUUGCAGUACGGAUAUCAAAACCUUGGACCGUACCAUCUUCAAGACUCACCUAAAAGAACAGUUAAGUUUCCAUAAGUUGAUUUUAAUGCAAACUUAUGGCGCAUUAAUGCUGAUCCUGCCAGCUUUCUUUGCUUAUAAGAACAAGAGGAAAUCCUAAAAGGAAGAAUGAAGCACUCACCACAAACGAGUGAUUACUAUGGGAAUCCCAUGCCAAACUUUCAACAUCAGCUGCGACAGACCACUUAAAACCAGGAUGUGUCGGUAUCCUCCCAUCCUUCUGCAAUCCAUAAAGAAUAUUAUCAUCAAAAAAGAGUAUGGCGCAGCAAAUAAGAGACAGAACUUCCCCCAGACAAAAGUCAAUUAGUCACUUGAAUAGCAACAUUUCCACUUCUAGGUUCAGUAGCAACCUAUUUUGAAACCAGAAUAAGCACAAUUUCUAUUAUCAUCACUACCGAAUUAUCAAAAGAUCCACUGAGAAGAACUUGUGGCUCAUGAUGAUUCCAUGCAACUGCUUGAACCUAUAUGUAUGGUAUGAAGAAAUUUGUAAACCACAUCCAAAAAGAAAGAUAUAAAAUAGCCAAAAGUUUAUCCAUAUGAUGAAAAUAAGCUGAAAUAGUAUUAUGAAAGACUGCUAAAGACAUUCUAAAAAUGUUUUUUUUUUUUUUUUUUUUUUUUUUUUUUUUUUUUUUUUUUCCAUUUAAUAACGUCUGAUAUAUUGGAGGAAACAUACUUCAAUCAAGAGGCUCAGUUAGGGGUGUGCAUCAUUCAGUUCUGCACGGUAGCAAAACUAAACAAUAUGAAUUUAUUACUGGAGAGAACCAGACCAAACCGAAAUGAAAAUAAUAAGUGAACUGAACUAUACAUCAUAAUUCGGUUCAGUUUCAAAAGCUGAUUUAAAUCUGUGUUUGAAGCAAACCGAAUAGGUAGUUGAUCUAAUUACACCUAGGAUCGAAUACAGAUCACAGGAAAAGGAACCAAACCCUAGUAGUGCCACAACUCAGCAGAUGAGAGGAGGAAGUCAGAGACUAAGAGGUGAAUCUCAACACCAACCGAGUGGCUGGUAGAUGAGAAUAUUCAGAGCUCAAUCUGAGGGUUGCAACUCACAAGCCGACUCACUAUGGAGGCAUCUUAUCACAAGCAAUUCAUAUCUCAAUUUCCAAGUAUUCUUUUAGGGUGCAGCCAUAGGAUAUGGAGGUGAGUGAGGAUUAAGGAGGAGACAAAAUAAGAGAGGUUUGAAGUUGAGGCUUGAGCGCCAUUGAAAUUAUUCUUUUCAACUUCUGAUCAUACUUGAGGGUUGUUAGUAAAAAAUGAACAAACUGAACUAUGAUUAGGUUCGGUUUUUUUGGGGUUUUUUGUAACAUAAAAACUGAACUAAAAUUACAAAAUUUCAGAAAAACAUGAAGAGACUGAAUUAUCUGAACUAGUGCAGUUCCCUUUGGUUUUGGUUAAAGCUGUAUACUGCUCAUCCCUAGCUCAGAUUAGGUAAAGAGAAAGUUGCAGAGGAAGUGGCAGUUUAAAUGUCUUGCAGCCUAUGCUUUGGGCUAGGAAACUUGAUGGGUCUAGGGAUGGAGGUGGAAUGGGUAAUUUAGGAUAUCCAGUCGCUCCAAUCUGUUUAAUAAGGAUACGGGUAGUUAUAAAUGAGUUCUAUACGGGUAUGGGUAGUGCAAUUACUACCCACAGUGGAUAUGGGCAGGUAAGGGUAUAAAGCUGAAUACUGCUCAUCCCUAGCUCAGAUUAGGUAAAGAGAAAGUUGCAGAGGAAGUGGCAGGUUAAAUGUCUUGCAGCCUAUGCUUUGGGCUAGGAAACUUGAUGCGUCUAGGGAUGGAGGUGGAAUGGGUAAUUUAGGAUAUCCAGUCGCUCCAAUCCGUUUAAUAAGGAUACUUGUAGUUAUAAAUGAGUUCUAUACGGGUAUGGGUAGUGCAAUUACUACCCACAGUGGAUAUAGGCAGGUACGGGUAUAGGACACUGGGUACCUGCUACCAUAUGGUUUUGGCUACAGAUACCUGCGUGCACCCUAUCUAUUUAUUAGUAAAAAAUAUAUUCUAGAAUCCUUUGGAUUUAGAUAGUUUAAAAUUUGUGGAUACCCUACCCAUUUAAGAGGUACUUUAACUUUAAAUAGGUUCAGAUACAGGUACUUAAAUGGACAUUUAAACGGAUUUAGAAUGAAUACGGAUAGUAAAAUGUUAACUGGAUACGGGUACAGUAGGUAAAAAUUCAUGGGUACUCGAUAGGUAGUUAUAUGCAUGUGAAUUGUAACAUCUCACCGAGUAUGAUAAGGAGCAAAUAGAAAACAAAUGAAUCUAGCGCAGCAAGUGAUUCAAACAGGCAGGAAAAGCAAUAUAAAUAAAGAAGGUAUUCUUACCUUGUCUGUAUGGUGCUCCAUGGUAAUAUCACAUUUUCCAGUAGCCACAUUCCAAAUUUUGACUUGUCUGUCAGCACUAGCACUAGCAAGGAUAUUUCUGCAUUUAUUAUUAUUAUUUUUUUUUAUCAGCAACUAGAGCAAUAAAUUUACAAUAGCAUUCUAGAGAAGCAAGAAAAAAACUGGAGACCAUGAUUCAAUGAACCUGUAAUGUUUGUUCCAGGCAAGGCCAAGUACAGAAUCAGUAUGACUGCCUUCUUUGUAUUUAGUUGAUGAUCUGACAUAAAAAGUUACAGAAUUAGUAAACGACGCAAGCACAGAGAAACUUGACAUCAGGUCCACAACAUAAUCACUGUUUAUGAGUACAUUAACACUGCCAGAGAUGGAACCACAAUAUCAAAAAAUACUCAAAUCCAAGCAUUACGAUUACAAUACUAUACUGAUCCUACAAGGUUGUACAUUUUAAGCAUAAAAUAAGAUUCAUUGCCAAUUCAUAGCUUCCUCAUUUCCUCAUUUCCGAUAUCAAAGUUCAUGAAUUAUUCAUUACAACAGUAAAGGUCUAUAAGCUAAUAUAUUCAUAAUUCAAAAUACAACAAGAGUGAUCUCCGGAAAGGAUGGUUGUGAAAAAAAAAAUUACUAGCAUAAAUGCAUAACAUGCUAUUAAGCAAUUUGAUUUAAGCCAUAGGUCUAUAUCAGACUUGGGUGGAUGAUCUGGAACAGUUAAGUUCGUCAUUUGUACCAUCAAAAGCAUUUUUAAUUCUAACAGAAAGACAUGAGUCGUGUAUAAAUGAAGUUGAGUAAACAUAUGAUUCACUAAAGUGGCAUGAUGAUUUUCAAAAAAUUGUAGAUAGAACAAAAUAAAACUAUACAAUUUAAUAAUGUAAUUAAAAAUUUAUAAUAGCCAACUACAUAUGAGAGAUGAUUAUAUACUGUCAAUAGAAAUAGCUAUUUAUAUAAAAAUAAACAUGGAAUACAAUAAAUAUAAAACAUAUACAGGUUAAAUAUUUUGCUUUAUCAUAAUUAACUCAAAUCAAAAGAUUAAAAUUGCUAAAGAAUGUAGAAGUCAACCUUCUUCCCUUUUUUCUUCUGUUUCUUCUCUUCGACAACGCCACCUAAAACUAGAGAUGGUUGCACUUCGUCACUCUGAGAAUACCGAAACUAGACGAGAUUCUGCAACUAUCUUUUAAAUAUAAUAAGCUUAUAUCUUACAUCUUUAUAUGAUUCAAAUUCAGGAUCCACGUAUAAUGUCAACAUCCCAUAUCUCAAUUGAAGGUUCCAUUGAGCCCACAGCGAUAAAAUUUCCUGGCAAUAUAAAAGAAUAUCUCUCAGUAUGAUGCCUGCUACAAAAUAAGCUGAAAAAUAUAAAUACAUACUGAGAUGCAGAUUUUCUUUUUUUAAUUUAAAACAAGUAUAAAUUAUAACAAAUCAGAAAAGUUUCAAUGCUAUAUGGCAAACCUACGAGUUACCAUACCUUUUUCUUCCCCUUUAAGUGGACAAGCAAGCCAUGCAGUACAUAGAGGGAAUGCAGACAGGAAAAUAUCAUGGUGCACAUACAUGUUUGAAUUGCCAUCCUCCGAUUCCUCAUAUAUCCAAACCUGCUUACAAUGAUGAGUGCUUCAUCAGAUAGAUAGAGAGAGUAAGAGAUAGAAAGAGAUCUUUCUCCAACCAAAAGCUACAUGCCUCAAGGUGACUAAAUUCAUCCUCAUUACCUGCACAAAGUAUGACUGCAUCUUUUGGUUUAAUAGUCGUGUCCUCAAGCUCUUCUCAAUCAUCAUCAUCAUCCUGCGAAAAACUUGUCCUCCAUGAGAAGCCAAAGAUAAAGAAAUUAUAUCCACAAUAUAAGAAAGUAGUCAAACUUACAUCUUUGUCCUUUAGAUACGGGUCCAUAUCAUUGCUUGGGUAGUAAAGGUCCCCUAGUCCUUUACUGAAUAGCUCAAUGCCUGAGGCGCACAGAUGAACAAUUAGUUGUAUCCCCAUUUUGAUGUUAAUUUUUUUUAAGCAGUCCCAAACAUCAAUUUCAUAUAAACAAAAACAGUUCCAAAGGAAUCACGUAACUAAAGUCCAAGGGUUUAAUUAUACUAUCCUCAACACGAAUUGCUAAUUAAGCAAAGAAUCAUAAUCCACUACUGACAUUUCUUGAAAUACAAAUAAGAAGUAAAAAAAGUAAGUAAUACAUAAAAAGAGAAAUAGUAGUCAGAUAUGUUCUACUAAUACCUUCAUUCUCCUCAUCAUAAUUAUCCAUGUCCAAUUCCUUUAGCCCAUCAGUUAUGUCAUCAAGUUUGGUCCUUGGCUUGUUAUUCUUAGGAGGUCUACCAAGUGCCUCUGCUACAGCUAAUGCUUGUUUUACUUCAUCAGUCUGCUUGGAAGUAUCAACUUCCAUAUCUGCAUCAUCAUCAUCUUCCUCACUGCCACUUUCUCCACUGCAUAAAGCACAAAAAAUUUAUUCAAUGUAAUCAUUUCAUUACAAAGGUAUCACCAAUAUAAUUCAAUAAUUUCCUUUACAAAUAUCACAAACUACAAAUGGAGUAUAAAACAGAAUUUUCGAUUCAAUAAUUCUAGCCAGAUGCAUUUAAAUAAACGUAUCAAAGAAAAGGAUAAACCUCGAUAAUCCUCCAAGGAAUUCACAUGUAAAUGAAAUUAGAAAAAGAAAAAAAAAAAGUAAAACAAUAAAAUUUAUAAACAGUGAAAUUAUAUAUGACUCUUUAUAAGUAAAACAAAAUCAAAGAAAAUACUAAAUAAAAAAAUAAUUGCCAAAUUACCUUCUCUCUAAAGCACCAGCCUUUAUCAUCUCUUCAAUGUCCUCUUUGGACGGUGGGUCUGCCACAGCCGGAACAAACUUCUCAACCCCUUUGGGAACUCAUGAUACUGCCGCUAUCAUUCUUCCGUGAUACUCACCCUGACUAAACAACAGUAACUGAAGAUCGGUGCACCGACGGCAGUGGCGCGAAAGAAGAAAGUGAACAGAGAGAAAAUUUGCGUAGUUUGCAAGUGGCAGAGGCUGACAAAGACGAGAGGGAAGAAACAAGGACGGGCAGCGUGACCGAGAAAAAGAUGGAAGAGAGGCAACUCUACCAGCUGACGGCGCAGAAGAAAGAAAAAAAUCUAGGAAAAUUCAGUUUUACAUGGUGUUAUAACGACAGUGUUUCAGUGAUUUGUAAGAGGAAUAGUGCUUGCUAGGGUCACUUCUCCAUGACUUGGUUUAUUUACAGUCUGUUAGGAAGGAGCAAGGUUACAUCUUCAUCGAUCUUUAUUUUUAUCUCUCUCUUCUGACUUUUAUUUUUAGGAACAAAUUGAAUAUUAAUUGCAUUGUGAUUUCUUGUCUUGGCUAUUUAUAUCAUAAUAAUCAUAACAACAAUUUUUGCAAGCUAAGCCAUGAUAUGGAGUAUAUUGGAUUAGGAUUAUAUUAGAUUUUUAAAAAAUUAUUGAAUUUGAUGGAAUUGAAGAAUUUUUUAAAAUUUUUUCAAAUUCCACUGGAAUUCUACGUAGAAUUUUAUAAAAUUGAUGAGACUUUUUUUUAUAUAAUAUAUUUUGAUUGAUUUUAACGGAAUCACAAUGAUUUUAUUAUAUAUCAAAUUAAAAUUAAUUUCGGGACUUAAUUAAACAAGUUAAAAGAUUUUAGAGCUAAAUAAAUAACUGAAAAACAAUAAAGGACUAAAAAGCAAAAUGUGUCAUUUCCUAUAAAGUCAUUAUUUUAUCCAUUAAAAACUUAUCGCAACUAACGGUGAAAGGCCUGCAAUGGGUCCCACUUUUGUUAACUGCUAUAUUAAACGGAUUCGGUAGCGGGUAUAUCCAUUAUUAGAAAAAAAAAAUUAAAAUAAGUUCGAAAUUUGGAUAGUUACAGAUUCGCGGUAUUCUAUCUGUUUAAGAGGUACUUUCAACGAGUUUUAGACGGAUAUAAAUAGUAAAUAUUUAAACAAAUUCAAAUAUGGGUACUUAAAUACAUAUUUAAGCAAGUUUAGAAUGGAAACGGAUAGUAAAAUUUUAAAUGGAUACCUAUACAUGUUGGUUACCAACUCUGCUUCCGUUCUAUUAAGAGGUGUAUUGGAUCAAAAGUCUGUUAUAUUUUAAAAGAAUUUUAAAAUCUUUGGGUUGAUGGAUGAAUUCAUGAAUGAUUUUUUUAUUCGUAAAUAACACUCUAAAAUCCAACGAAAUCAAUAAUUUUAUGGAAUCCUUCCAAACCAGCAAAUUUUUGAAUACCAUCAAAUUUGUAUGAACUUUUAAAAAGUGAUAAUUGAAUACCAUUAGAUUUUUAUGGAUUUUAUGAGAAUCUAAAUUGAAUAUCACAAAGUUUUAAUAGACUCUAAAAGAAUCUAAAUUAAAUACUAUUAAAAUUUUAAAAUCUAACAUACUUUUAAUCCAAUACAUCCUCCUACAUUUCAAUAACACAUGUGCAUUGAAAUUUCUUGUAUUGGUUAUUUAUAUCAUAAUUAUAACAACAAUUUUUGCAAAUCACAAUAUAUUUCAAUAAUAUAUUGUGAACAUAAGUUUCUUUAAAAUAUAAUAAUAAUAUAAUUAUUAUAAUAAGUUUUAAAUUAUAAUACUUUUUGAAUAUCAGUAUUUUAAAGGUAAAGCCUAACGAAUCCGUGAUUAAUCCAGUAUGUGAACCAUAAAAAUAAAACGCUCAAUUCAAUUCAUUUAUUUUUAAAUUCACUAAAUUGAGUUGAAUAAUGUCAUAUCACUCCAAUUGGAUUGAAUUAGAAUCGAUACCGCAGAUUAAUACUUUAUUAGUAAUUACAUUUAGAUAAUGUUUAGAUUGAGAAUACUAAAAUUUAAUAGAAUUUUUUGAAAAUAAAAUCCAUGGUUUUUAAUGCCCCAGAUUUAUAAAAUUUAUCAAAAAAAAAUAAAACUUCUAAUUAAGAGAUUUGAAUUCAUAAAAUAUGUUAUUUUAAAGAAAAAAUAUCGUUGUUUUCAAAAAAAAAAAAAAAAAAAAAAAAAAAAAUCGUCGCCUGUACUCGAACCAAAUACUUUCUGUGUGUUAAACUGACGUGAUAACCAACCACACCAUGACACCGUUAUCGAACAGGUCUUUGAUAAUAUAUAUUUUAGGAUAUCUAGGGAAGCCUUUUUAACACCUGUACUAUAAUUUCAAUUGCGCCUCUUUCUUGUUGAGGAAACCCUAUCUUCCUCAUCCGCUUCUGUCUCUCUGUAUCUUCAAAUUGAUCUGCCUCUUUCGAUUUCUUUCUGUCUUCUUUUUUCAGUGUUUUGAAUCUAUUUAUUAGGUCAUAAAGAUGUCUAGCGCUUUGGAUAUGUCCCUUGACGAUAUUAUCAAGAGCAAUAAGAAGCCUGGAUCCGGUAAUUCUCGGGGUCGUGGCCGGGCUUCCGGACCCGGACCUACUCGUCGAUUCACGAAUCGUGUAGCUAAUCGAGCGGCUCCAUACUCCACCGCUAAGGUAUUGUUUAUCUGAAGUCAAUUAGGGUUUUGAUUUGUGGUGAUAUUACUGGCUUAGUUUUUCGUAUAAGUUAUUUGAUCUGUUUUCUCGUAGGAGUGAUUUAUAUUGAAUUGUUUGUAGGCUCCUGAAACGACGUGGCAGCACGAUAUGUUUACGGAUCAGGGUAUGGGAUACGCCGGACAAGGAGGCCGGGCCUCCGCUAUUGAGACUGGGACGAAGCUUUACAUCUCUAAUCUAGAAUAUGGCGUCUCAAACGAGGAUAUUAAGGUAUUUAUGCAUUCUGUUAAUUUACGCUUUUAAUUUGUUUUGUUGUGUGUGGUUGUAGAUUUUGAAAGAAACCAGAUGCUGAUAAAUUCAUAUUGGUUGUUUAUAAAUCCUGAAUUAUUCUUACUCGGGUGUUUUUAGUUGACAUAUUGGCAUAAGUAGUUUUUCAUGCCAGCAGAAUUUAAAUGGAAGAUUUACUAUGGUGUAUUGGUUUAAGUUGUGAACAGACAACUUAGGUAGUAGUUUGUUUAACUUGUUUAUGGCUCACAUAUGAUUUCUGAAUGCCAUCUUAACUGAUUGAACUAUGUGCAGGAAUUGUUUUCUGAAGUUGGUGAUUUGAAGCGGUACACUAUCCAUUAUGAUAGGAGCGGGAGAUCGAAGGUAUCUAAUCAAGUUUGGCAUAUACUCUACAUCCUUCUGAUGCAUACUUUGUGUCCUGCUGUAGUUUAGAAAACCUCUUUUUCUUAGGGUACGGCAGAAGUUGUCUUCUCUCGACGAACAGAUGCCUUGGCUGCUGUGAAGAGAUACAACAAUGUCCAACUUGAUGGGAAACCAAUGAAGAUAGAGAUUGUGGGAACAAAUAUUGCUACUCCUGCUGCACCUUCAGCUGCUAAUGGCACUUUUGGAAGUUCAAAUGCCGUUUCUAGAGGGUAUGGAUUGAUGUUUGCUUUUGCUGCUAAUCUAACUCUUUUAAAUAGUAAUUCACAGUUUGAAAAGAUGCUAACUUAUUGUGUUUUUUUGUAUACUCACCUUUUAUGGGGUCUAUUGAUUAUUACUUGGUGGUUGUUAAAUAAGUUUCUGAAGAUUUAGGAUUUGUGUUUUGAAUAGUACUUAUUUGUCAUUGAAAGGCUUCAUUAGAUUUUGUUAUCUAGAAAACGAUGAUACUUGAAUUGGUAUAAUGAUUAAUUAUAGAGUUGCAAAUCUCGUAGGUCUUGAAAAAUUUGCUCUCUAGAAGGAUGUCCAUUAGAAGUCAUUUUGGGAGCUACGGUUUUGUUUAAAUUAGUGGAACUACUUGUAACCUAUUGGUUGAUAUGAUUGAUAAACAUGAUAUUUGAAUAUAUACCAAGAGGCAAUAUCUGAACUAACGACAAAUUAUUGAUGCUAUUGAUGUUCUGUGAAAUUAUAUCCCAUAUUGACUGCAAAUUUUUCUUUUUGGAAUUUUUGACACUUGUCAAAAUUUUGAUUCUAGUCCUUGGCAUACUGUUUUCUUGGUUCUAAAGUUGAUAUUGGUAUUGUUUUGUUCAGGGCUCGAACUUUGAUAAUAUGGUUGGUUAAAUAAUAAAGUUGAACUCUGUACUUUGUACGCGAAUUUCAUGUGUCUUGUGCAUAUGACUUUGAAACCUUGUGGUUUUGUGCAAAUUCUUUGAUGAUUUUGGAGCUUCACAUUUUCUAUAUCAUAUUCAUGAUUUUCAUUGAAUGGCAAAGUUACCUUUAUUUACAAAUGGAAUGCUGGUUCCGUGAGUUCAUGUAUGGCAAGCCACAAGCCUAGGUUUGGCAUGUUUUAUUAUUUUUUUUAAGUUCUUGUUCAUAGGCUUGAAUGUUGCUUAUGAAGUUGUCUUGCAAUUUUGAUUUUUAUCAAUGGUUUGUUACAAUGUUUCUGAUUUCCCCCCCCCCCCUUUUUUUCUAGGGGGCAAGGAAGAGGUGGUGCAGUGGGGCGGCAACGUGGUGGCAGUGGCGGUGGCCGUGGAUUUGGAAGAGGUCGUGGACGUGGGAGGGGCGGGGGCGGGGGCGGGGGCCGUGGUGAAAAGGUAUCCGCAGAAGAUCUUGAUGCUGAUCUGGAGAAAUAUCAUUCUGAAGCUAUGCAGACAAAUUAAAUGCUUUUCUUUUGUUUUCUUGGUUGGACGUUCAACCCUCUAUUUGGCCUUUCAUAUGCUUGGUGGUUCAACAACCCCAACUGUGUUCUGUAACAUUAUCAAGUCCUACUAGGGAUUAUAGAAAUACUCAGGGAGAAACUGUUAGGAACUUUUUUUAUGAAGUUUGGGCUUUUAUCAUUAAUUGUUCCUUGACUUGGGUACUAAAUGUGGGUUAAAAGACAGCUGUCGGUAUGUUAUAGUAGUGAUGCUUUUGGUUUCGUUAGCUUCUCAAGUGUUCAAGUCCCUUCUGUUUUACUCUGCAAGUUGGAUUAGGAAGUGGAACUAUUUCUCUCUUGUAUUCUUUCACAUCCAAAUGCUGUCUGCAAGGAGUGGAGGAUUCAGCCUGAACAGAAAUUUCCCAGAGUUCCUGUUUCUAUCAGCUUCAUCAUUGAAACAGGGAGAUUUCCUCUGAGGUAGAUUUCUUUAUAUUUAUCAUAUAAUUAGCAACUUUAUGUUCCUCUGUUAGAAGUUGUACUUGAUUAUGGCGCAGUUGAUUUUGAUGGUUGAAUUAUAGCCUCAUAAGUUACAUCUCUUUUUGUAUUCUGUUCAGGGAAAUAUUAGUUCCCCUGACUAUUUCGUAUGGCUACUGCUAAUAUUAGAAAUAUGGAAUCUCUGGAUCAAUCAACCUGAUGACAUUGAAAAUUCAGGUGAAGAGGAAAUGUGGAAUGUCUUGGAAUAGGAACUCGCUUUAGGUGUUGGUUGAUCUAUAUGGAUUUUUAAGAACAGUUUCAUUGAUAUCUUUGGUCUGUGGCUGAAAGAGUUGUUUUUUUAUCUCCUUGGUUGAGGGUUUAAAUGCUUCUCCAAUCAGCCAAGAAAGAAUUGGACCUUGCUCUGCAAAGAAUUGCAGUUAGAGAUAUGUGCAGUAGCAUUUCUUUGCAAACUGAACUGGAAUUUUUUGCUGCUUAUAAGAAAACCUCCUGAACUUUACAAAGUUGGUGUUGGAUUCUGGUAGCCUGCUCUGUUGCUCGAGGCAGUUGAAUUUAUUAGAGGAAUUCUGCCAUCGAGGGAUUGCAAUGAGCACAUAAUGCUGAUUCACUUAUUACUGUUUUGUCCUUGAUAACUGAUUGGCCAUAGCAUUACCGUUUUCUUGUGGAAUGGAAGACAUGUAUUAUGUAUUGUAGGUGGCUUUUUCGCAACUGUUUUGGAAGUCUUAGUCGCUUUCAGAGGAAAAACUAGGCAAGGCGAUGUUGAAAUAGGCAGCAUUUUAUGUUGACGCAUUGGUAUUUGGUUCUCUACAUAUUAUGUUUGCGACUGAUAUCUGUUGGCACCUAUCCUCGCACUGAUUAUGCUGUCAUGUUAGCUGGAGUUAAAUAUAUUUUAUUAUAAUCGAGUUAUAUUGGGCUUUGAUUAUGUGUAUAUCAGAUGGCAAAAUGCAUACAAUAUAUGCAAAUUAGUGGUUUUUGACCCUGAACGUAGCUUCCAAAGCUUCCAUUCAGUUCGAGUACGACCAUCAAUAGUGGAUUUAAGUAUCAUUUAGAUUAUGAUUGGCUGGAGAUUCUAUACUCUAAAUGAUUGGCUGGAGAUUCUUUUAACGUUGUGGGGUGAAGGCUGCAAGGAGCCAAUGCUUGCUGAUGGCAAGGUAUUUUCGUUGGUCCAAGUCCAAUGCUCUUUCUCAAGUGAGAAGUUGAUUCAUUUUUUAUUUUUAAACAGGAAUUGAAUUUAAACAUUGAAAUAAAAGAGAGGAUCUUCAAUCAGUAGGCAGUGAUGCUUUAUUUGAUAUUUUAUUUUGGGCAGAACGGUUCUCCUGAGGAAAGUCGAACGUAAUAACAUGUUCCUUUGGAGUACCUGGACUUGUGGGUCUGUUUCUCUAUUACAUUAUAAACCGAGGUUCUUAUAAGAUAAGGUCGACAAUAUAAUGUAGUUUUAGUGCUAAAUAAUCAACAGUUUCUGCAAACUGUUCAAAAAAGUUCUCGUUUAUAAACCCAAAACUGCUCCUGGUAUAUAAUAAUAUCAUGAUAUCAUUGUAUAUUUUUAUGGUUUUUACUGCUAACUUUUUUCUCGAUCAGUUAAGAAGCAAAAAUCUAAAAUGAAAAACAUAACCACAUGCCAGAGUCCCAUUCUUUAGUUUUAGUGAUUUGUAAGGCUAUGGAGGGUGCGUAUUUAAUUUUGACUUCUGUAAACAAUUGCCCAUUUUUUUAAGCUAGUCCAGAUUUCAAUAUACUUUCCGUUACUUUGACCGAAUGCUUUAUGACUUCUUUCCAUAAAUGCAUAAUCGUGAUAUAAAACAGUUCCUUGACCUAAAGUUUGUAAAAA